UCCCUCCUUAUUUGAUGAAAAGAAGAGAGAGCCUCAUUUGAUGCUCAAAUUGCAACAACAAAGUCUUUCAUAUAUUUAUGAGAAAAAAUAUAAUUUAAAUUUUCUUAGUUAGAUGUCCAAACGACCCUUAAUAUAUAAAUGGCCUAAAGAUUGUCCCAAAAUCCCCCUUACACAACUUGGGAAAUCACCUUCCACAUCAAAACGUUUUAAAUAUAUGUGUCUCCAAGUAAAUUUGCCCGCACGAUCUUAAUUAUGUUAUUGAAUUUAGAUAUGAGAUUUUCUAAGUUGGAUGUGUAGCUGUUGACAGCUUUGGACAUUUAGCUACUGCUGCUUCUGCUUGAAGACAAGUAAACACGAUAGUUGGAAGGAGAGGAGAUAUAUGUGCACACAAUCAGAAUGUUUAGAGCUUGUGCAACAGAAGAUGGUCACACAGAUCUAGCAAUUUGGUAACUUUUUGUUAGAACAGAUUAGUCUUUGUUGUAUGUAUAAUAAAGCAACUUCAAACUAAAUUUUUUCCCAAUUCCUAUUCCAUAUGGUCUAAAGAAAAACUUCUAGACACAUCCAGGAAAUGCGAGAGAAUUUAAUGGUUUCAAUAUAUAAGAGGAAAUUGGAUCUCUUUUUCGUGGGUAUAUAUAGGACAAAUACUUAAUGUUGACUCUGAUAUUUCAGGGACAUGAUGUUUACAACCAUGGAGUAAUAAUUGAAUGAGAACUAUUUAAUCUCCACCUCCUUCCACCUUCUUUUUUUUUUUUUUAAACAAAACUUUGAAGUAUCUCUAGACGAUGAAAAAAAGAAGCUAUCCAGAGAAGAUGAGUAAUUGAGUAUUUUUUUUUUUGGUUAAAAGGGGGGCAAUUCAUUAACAGCUUAGCCAAGGUCAACACGAGUAUCAGUGGGUAGAGCUACUGCUCCACUCGAAGUAUUGGGGGGUGGGGGGUUAGAUGAGUUAGCAUGAGCCACAUUCUGGCCAUGUAGGUCCAAAAUAGAAGGAUUAAUUAGCCUAGCAAAAACUUUUCCUUCCUUGUCCGCUUCUACGAAAGGUACUGCAGAAGCCGGUGGGCUUGACAAAAUAAUUGGCACGCCAAGUUGCAUGAGUUUGCUGCCUUCCUUAGCCAACCUGUCCGCGACUCUAUUUUGUUCCCUAAAGGUAUGGUUGAUUCUUGUUGCCUCGAGUACCUGCAGGAGGGACCUGCUCUCAAAAAUCAGGUUAGUAUAAAGUUCGUGGCCACGGGUAAUAGCGCUGACAAGCUCCUUUGAGUCAGUACAAAUGAUGAGAGGUUUGAUACACAUUGUACUAGCAAUCCUCAGUCCUCUAAGCAGUGCCUUGAUCUCAGCAUGCAGGGGGGUCGAAUGAGAGGUGCAUUCCAUGUAUCCAACAACCUACUCCCUUUGUGGUCUCUAAUAACAUGUUUCCAGUCAACAGGAUUCAUUUUAUUGUUAAAAAGGUUGUCAUUUCUAGUGAGCCAAAUGGUCCAUAAUAGUUGGGGUAGCAGAUGGUCCCAAGUAAUAUGCACAUUAUACUGGACAUUAUGUAAGUGUUUCCAGGCCUUAAGGGCCUGGUUGACAGUAAAGUAGUUUCCUAUGGAGAUGUGAUGCAUUUGGCUUGAUUGAUUAUGUUGUUCCAGCAGUGGAGGCAUUGGUGCAAGUCAAGAAGAUAUGGUCAAUAUCCUCACACGAAUGUCUGCACAAAGAGCAUGAGGAGUUAUUGGUUAUGCCAAGUCUGUGCAAGUAGUAUUUGGUCUGUAGCCUGCCAUGGGCAAGUAGCAAAAUGAAAGUCUUGAUCUUAUUGGGAGCUGGCAACUUCCAGAUCCAAGGGAAAUCAAAGGGAGGCUGGGCAUUCCCUUUUUCAGCAAUGGAGGUGUAGACACUAUUAGUAGUGAAUCUUCCAUUAGGGGUUGUACUCCAGUACAUAAUGUCCUCUUUGGUGGGGUUGGAGUGAGCUAGAGUGUCCUCCAUGUAUUGGAGGAUAGCCGGAGGGAGUUCGAAGGAUAUGCUGGAGAGAUUCCAGCCUCCAUCAGUUAGCAAGGUGCCAACAGUGAUGUUAUCCCCAUUAUGAGGAAGAGGGCCUUCUAUGAGUUCUCUUAAGGGUGGUUUAUGAGGGAUCCAUCUAUCCAAGAAGAGCUUGGCCUUAUCACCCUUGUUCAUAUGCUAUCCAAGACUUUUGGUGCAUUGGUUCCAUCCUUGUUGAAUGUUUCUCCAGGUGCUAGACACCACUCUAUUAGCCGAGUGACCCCUGGGGGGUCUCUGAUAUUUAGAGGUGAGGAUUUUCCCCCAUAGGGAGGUAGGAUUUUUGACUAACCUCCAAGCCAAGCUUGCAUGGAGUGCCCUGUUUCUGAUCUCAGUUUUGUGAAAACCAAGUCCCUCUUUGGUCUUAGGCUUGGUGAUAGUAUCCCAACUGAGUAAGUGCAAUUUCUUUUUCUCAUCCUCAGUUCCCUAGAUAAAAUCUCUUUGCAUUUUAUCCAUGGAACUAGUGACUUUCCUAGGGAUUUUUAUGUAUUGCAUGAGGUAGGUGCGCAUGCUGCUAAGGGUAGCCUUAGCCAGAAUAGUCCUACCAGUCAUGUUGAGUUGAGCAGUUUGGUUUUCCAACCAAAAAGUUUGUUAGCCAUGCAGUCAAUAAUAGAUUGGAAAUCAGCAUUAGUGGGGGCUUUGUGGAAGAUAGGGAAGCCCAAGUAGUUGCCAAACUCAGGUUUCCUAUCUAUGCCCAGAAUGGUAGAGCAAGUGGUAGCAUUGUGGUUGGUGGUGUUAGAAGAUAAGAGGACUCUAGACUUAGCUUUAUUUAUUUUCUGUCCAGAGAGAGAGCUGAAUUGGUCUAGGGUAGACAGAAUGAUGUUGCAGUUGGCUAGCUCUAGCAAAUAGGGUGAGGUCAUCUGCAAAAAAUAGAUGGGAGAUUUUUGGACCAUCUAUAGUGAUGGAGAUAGGGGUCCAGUCCUUUUUUGUGACAUGAAGGUCUAUGGUUCUAGCUAGUCUCUCUAUGCAAAUGAUAAAGAGGUAGGGGGAAAUGGGGUCGCCUUGUCUGAACCCCCUGGUAGGGGUGAAGUGGGUAGCAGGGCUCCCAUUGACAAGGAUGGAGAGAGAGUUAGUGGUGACACAGGACAUGGUGAGUCUAGUGAUCUUGUUAGGGAAAUUGAAGAAGUGGAGAGAGUCAUGAAUGAACGACCACUCUAGCCUAUCAAAGGCUUUUUCAAGAUCAAUUUUGAGGAUCAUAUUAUGGUGUUUGCCACGCAUUUUCCUAAAAUAUGAGAUGUAUUCCUGAACAAUGAUGGCAUUGUCUGCAACUGUUCUGUUGGCUAGGAAACUGGCCUGGGAGGGGCCAAUGAUGGUCCCCAGGAUAGGCUUGAUUCUAUUGACAAUAAUCUUAGUGAUGAGCUUAUAGGAAGUGUUGCAAAGGCUAAUGGGCCUGAAGUCAAUCAUUGAAGAUGCAUCGGGGCAUUUAGGGAUAAGGCAGAUAAGGGUUUUGUUUAUCUCUUCCGGGAUAGUGUAGUCCUGGAAGACCUUGUGACAAAAGGCUGCUGAUUUAUCACCUACAAUGUCCCAAUAUUUCUGAUAGAAGAGGGGGUGGAGGCCAUCAGGCCCAGGAGCUUUGAGAGGUUUAAAGCUCUUGAGAGCAAUGGUGAUCUCAGAGUCUCUAAGAGGGUGUUCAAGGUUCUUCUUUUGAGCUGAGGUAAGGAUGCGGGUAGUCUCUCCAGUUUGGUUCCUGUGGAGGCCAAUGGAGGUAUGGUCAGAGGUAUAGAGCUUGUGGUAGAAGGUGGAUAUGUGAUUCGUAAUACCAUCUUUAUCAGGGAUGAUGCUACCUACCUCAUCCUUAAGAAAAUGGAUCUUUUUCCUCUUCCUUCUUACCAUGGUUGAAGUGUGGAAGAAUUUGGUGUUAGCAUCACCACAUGUGAGCCAGUUAAUAUGGGAUCUGACCAUCCAAAAGUCCUCCUCUGACUGUAAGAGCCUGUUGUAAUCGGAGAAAAGGUCGUUUUCCAGGUCAUGGAGGUAUGGGCUGGUGUGGUAAUGAGCAGACUUUUGGAUGCCAUCUAGCCUAGCUAAAAUCCUUUUAAUUUUGUGAAAGAUGUUUCCAAAUGUGUCUCUACUCCAGAUGGAGGCCUCCUGCCGGAAGAGUUGGAUAGAAUGGGUAAGGGAGGUGUGUUCAUGAAAGGAUUGUCUAAUGAUAUUUUGAAGUGUAUGGUGCGAGCACCACAUGGGCUCAAAUCUAAAAGGCUUAUUGGGGGAGGUAGGGGAGGGAUUGGUAAGAGUGAGGAGCAUAGGGCAGUUGUCUGACCUUGUUCGAGGCAGGUGUGUGACAGAUGCCUCCGGGAAUUGAUUUAUCCUCGAGGUAUUAGCAACACACCUAUCAAGUCUCUCAAGGAUAAGGUUCCUCCUAUGCUUAUACCUCUUAUUGUUCCAGGUGUAUUUGCAACCUUUAAACCCUAGAUCUAUCAUCCCACAGUUAUCAAGACACUCUUUAAAAAAAGAGGAUCUAUUAUUGUUAAUACUUAGGCCACCAAGUUUUUUUUUGGCCAAGAGAACUUCAUUGAAGUCUCCUCCCAUUAGCCAUGGGCCUGAAUGCGUCUGGGCCAUGAGCUUAAGCUCUUCCUAGAGGCCUUGCCUAAUAAGGAAGUUAGGGCUAGCGUAGAUGGCAGAGAAAAGCCAAGAGGAGGGGUUUGGGAGAUGGGUUACCUUGAGAAUGACGUGAAUGCCCUGGGCUGUGACCGUAAAGUUGUCAAGCUGGAUGCGAUCUGGGUGCCACAUGAGGACGAUUCCAGUGAGACCAACAACAGGAGAUUGAACAUGGGCUUCAAAGCCCAUAGUAGUAGUGAGGUGCUUGUGCUCCGACAUCUUAGUCUCGAGAAGGACAAGCAUAGCAGGGCGGUGAAGCUUGAGCAUUGCGUCGCACUGACGCCUGAAGUUAGAACUGUUGGCUCUUUUAGUGUUCCAAAUCAUCACAUUCAUUGGGGUGGUGAGUGGGGGGGGCGGUAUGUAUGACUGGGUCCUUCCCCUUGUCCAGUUGGGGGUGGUCCAGAACUAUGAUGAUUGGUUUUAGUAGCAUUGCUGGGGGGGGGGGGGGGGGGGGGGUCCUCAGAGAUAGCGAGAAUAGCUUCUUCUCCAGAGGGAGAUACACCAUAAUAGCUGAGCUAAAUGGCUCGUUGAAUUCUUUCGUUAGUGGCUUGUCUAGGGCUAAGAUGUCUAGAGUUGGCUCCCCGAACAUUGCCAGAAAGUUUUCUAGCUCCUCGUUGCUCUGUCUGAGAGAGUCCAGGAGAGUUGAGCUUGUGCUUCCUGGGCCUUCUGCCCCUGAUGUUGGGGGCACUGGGGCAUCUGACUCUAGAGGUUUGGGGAUGAAAGUAAGUGCCUGGGAGGNNNNNNNNNNNNNNNNNNNNNNNNNNNNNNNNNNNNNNNNNNNNNNNNNNNNNNNNNNNNNNNNNUCUGGUGGAGUCAGGUUCCCGGCUUUGGAAAAAAAAGUUUUGAGCAUUGUUUGCUGCCAUAGUUGGUUCCCCAUUUCCAUCACCGCUUGGUCCAGGGCUUUCUUGGUUAUUUGGGCUAGGUAUGCCGGGUCCUGGAGUAUUAGAGUGAUGUUCUUCUCUCUCACCUUUGCCUGAAAUUGCAGAUGGACUCCUUGAAGUGCAAGUUCCAUCCAAGAGGUCGAAGUUGUGUUUGGCGCAGGUGGUGUUGAGAUGAAGAUUGAGGGCGUCGUGCUGCUUUCCAAGUUCGGGUCCAUUGGGAGAGGUUUGGAAAAGGCAAGUAGUAGAUUUGGAAAAGGUGUGAGUAGCUUCCUCCGACCAUUCUUUCAAGGUGGCAUUAGUAGUAGUAAUAUUAGGGUAGUUAAUUGAAGUGACCUCAUCGGUCACUUCAAAUGUUUUGCUCUCAUUAUUGCUUAGGGCAAUGGCGAAGGGAUUGCUUAGGGGUUUUCCAAUAACUGUAGAAACGGAUGGAGUUUUCAAUGUGAAGGUAGGGGCAGGUCUGUGAGGAGGGGUGGCAUAGAGGCCCCAUCGCAUUUAAUCAACGCGUCAGUUCCCAGUGGAAUAAAUUUAUUGAAGGUAAUAAAUUCAGAGGGUAUAUUGGUUGGGGCAUUCUCAUUAGGGUGCAUGUGUGGCACCGGAGUGGGCCUAUUGUUGGGGCCUUCUUUUUGGGCUUAUUUUGAGGGGCCCUGCCAUCAUGAUGGGGAGUUGGGCCACAAUCCAAGAUUUGAUUUGGGCCACUCAGGUUUUGGGCUGAAGCAGGGUCAGUGAACAUACCUGUGGUUUUGUCAUAGACCCUUACCUGUGUUUGGGCCUGGGCCUUAGUGUUGCUGACCCGUUCUGGGCUUCUCUUCAAGGGCGUCCUCCUUUUUGGAAAGGAGACGACCCGCCAUUGGCCAUCCGUAGGAAGCUGUAUAGUUUCACUGGUGGAUGGGGUGCCGGUGCAGAUUGGUGUCGUGGUGGUAGGGCAUUCCCCGUGAGUAUGUCCCAACAUGCCGUAGUUGGUACACAAGAUCUUCUCCCCUUCGUAAAUCACCAUUUGUCUAUGAGUGCCAAUGGUAAUGUGGGAUUUAAGUGAGUGCUCUAAUGGUACCUGUACACAAAUGCGUGCAUAGCGUCCACGCAGCGCAGUGGAGGUGCAGGUGUCGAUCUUGAGUAAGGCACCAAGUUUCCUUCCGAUCUUCUCGAGAAUCUGCUGGUCGUAGAACUCGGUUGGUAGUUGUGGUAGACGUGCCCAAAUUGCAGUGUGGGUGAGGCUCGCUUCCUGGGGGACGAAAUUGGGCUCCCAUUUCCGAAUGGUAAGGAAGUUUCCUGUGAUGAACCAUGACCCUUCAUUCAGGACUCGUUCCAUGCUUUUAAUUAGGGAGAAUUUGGCAAUGAAGUAGUCAUUCCCCAGAUCAAUGAGGAUUAAGUUCUCACCCAGUUUCCACAGGUCAGUGAGUUUAUUUCUAAGGUAGGCAUGUGACAAUCGUUUCUUGUAGAGUUUAAUGAUUACUGAUAGACUCUAUGGUUGAUAGAUCCUUUGUUUUUCUUGGUCGGUUAGUUCGAUUGCAUCUUCAUCGUUCUCUUCCUUUUCCAAUGGGAGCCCGUCAUAGAUGUUGUAGGAACGGUUGAUUUCUUUUUCCUUAUUGAGAAAGACGUCCUUGAAGGAGGAGUAGGCUGGGCUUUCAAUUUCCAUGCUGGAUUCUCGAGGGUCGGGAGGUUCUGGUGGGAUCGUGGUAGUUAUCUGCGGUGUGUUAGGUAUACUCAUGGGGUUGGUUUAGUAAUUGAGUAUUAUUAAAACAGAUAUAUCGCUGUUUGAUUCAGUCGGCAGACUCGACACCAGUGGAAAUGUUGCCCACCCGCCUAUAAUUGACUAAUUAUCAAUGUCCAUUAUUUUCAAUUCUUUUGUAACUUGGAGUUGGUGUGGUGAAGUGCUGUUCUCAAUCUUUUUGCUCUAACAGCAGAAAGAACUACGAGUAAUAUUCAUUAUAAAAUUCCCUUUGUAGGUAGAAGAGGUAGUGCAUGUUACACAUCUUAUUGGAGAGGGAUGAAUGAAAUGGAAACUUGUUUCUGUUGUUUGUUUGAUAAGAAUAUAUCAUCAAGACUUAAAAGGAAUGUUUUAUAAAGUGGUGGUAAGAUGAGGCAUGUUAGUGGAGUGUUGGCCGAUCACGAAUUACAUGUUCAGAAAAUAAAAGUAGCGAAAUGAGGAUGUUGAGAUACAUGUGUGGAAAUACUAGGAGAGAGAAGAUCAAAAAUGAAGUUUUGCGACAUAAGGUGGGAGUAGCUUUCGUGGUGGACAAAAUGGGGAGGCGAUGUUGAGAUGAUUUGAACACAUAAAGGGAAGAUGCACAUAUUGCUAGUGAAGAGGUGUGAGAGGUUGGUUGUAGUCGGCCGGCAUAAAGAAGAGUAGGGGUAAGCUGAAGAAGUUUUGAAGCGAGGUGAUUAGACAGGACAUGAUACAUGCAGAUUACUGAGGACGUGUAUGUCCUUAGAUAGGAAGAUGUGGACAUGAAAGAUUAGGGUAGAAGGUUAGUAGGUAGCUGACUAUUGUCGAAUUCCCUUGUCAAUAUGGCAUUAUUACUCUCCUAACUAUUAUAUUUUUCAAUUUUAGUAUCACCUGUUGUUUUGAUUGCUUCAGUUAUCGUAUUAUGUGUUCCCCUGGUGCUUUAUUUCAUUGUUUUAUAGUAUCCCAUAAAUUUCUUAAAUAAAUAUAAAAUUUGUACAAAAAUUAAUGAAUUCAACCAAACUCGUAAUCUUUACUCUAGCUCCACCCUCGCUAGGAAGGAGAUAAAGGUUUGCCACUCAUUAGAAAUGACAAACAGCCACAAUUAUUGGAAUCCAGAACCAAAGUUUGCAACAUGACUUCUUGGGGAUAACCAAAACAACUACAGAAAAGAGUUAAAGGAACCUCAAAAACCACGUUAGUUGCUUUGGUUCUUGUCUGACUCAUUCACUUCACCAUUUUGCUGCGGAGUGACAGAUGUAGUCAUCAAAUCAAAACCCAACUUUUGCUUUGUGAUUUCAUCAAGAACCUCAAUCAUUUCUUUUGAAAGAUGGUUCUUGAAAUCGCCCAUUUUGCCUCGCCGGAAAUAUAUGUUGUUUGCAAUAGUAGGACUAAACGCUCCAGAGUAUGUGCCCUCUUUAUUCACCUCCAAAUUGCUCAGUUUCUCAAAGCUGCAGAGCUCUAUUAUUCUCUCUACAAUGCCUUCACUUUCUUCCUCCAACGAAAAUGGCUGCCCCAAGAACUCUGCUAUUCUCUUUGCAUUAAAGAUUGGAUCUUUCUUCAAAUCCUCAUACUUCAAGAAAAGAACCCUCUCUGGAAAUUCUAAGCUGGCUUUAUAAUAUCCCAUCACAUGAUCCCAAAAUGGACCAAAAGGGGAAUACCCUAUAGUAAAUUGGUCAAAUGCUUCUGGUAGAGAAUUGAAAGGCACGUCUUUGGGUCUUAAUUUCUGCAUAAAGUACCAGAAAGAAACCAACACAUCUUUUGCAUUGCGAAACACAAACUAUUUUGCAUUUGGAGUCAUUACCUGUUAUAGACUUUGGUAAAGCAUUGAAGGCAAGAUGUGAUUGUAUGAGACAAGUGUUUGGUGUUGGAUUUGUUGGGUGCUUAAAUGCAUAGGCCUCUAGAUAGGGUACUAAUUCAUGUGGGUUUGAAAAGAGCAAAGGAUGCGUGCUAAAAUUGUCGUAUUGUGAUCUGUUUGUAAUGGCAAAAAGAAGGGCCUUGAGCCAUGUGGUGCCAGAUUUUGGGUGACUGGCUAGUAAGACACUGUUUGGUUUUGGCUCAAAGUGUUGCUGCUGAAGUACUAGCAGACCUUCUAGACUUUUUGUCCAAUACCAAAUACCUUUGUAUUGGUGAAUCUGAUCACUUAGCCAACCUCUUUCACUUGGAAGCUCAGAGAGUAUUUUAUCAACGGAUUCUUGGUGAUUUUUAUGGCUUUGUUCUUUGGUGGCAAGUGGCAACAUUUGUGAGUAAGGGGGAGUUCUGGGUAGAGAAGAAGUUUGCCAUUUGAGUUGAUGCUCAAAAGUAGCCGAAACUCUUGCUGCAUUUAUAAGACUUUUGAGCUUCGUUAGGUAGUUGGUCAGGAGCUAAGUUAUUUAUUGUUUAGCAGUUAGUUGAGAAACUUAGCUGUUCAUUGUUAAUUACUUACUUAUUUGUUGUUAAUUCCGGUAGUUAUCAGUAGAAUUAGUUAGUAAGCUAAGCCAAGUUUUGGUCUCUAUAUACUAUUACAUUGAUUUUUUUCUUUUUUUUUGGUUAGACUAUUACAUUUACAUAUACUAUUACAUUGCUUUACUGUCGAUGUUUACAUAUCUAAAAUGACAAUCUGAAAAAAGUUUUCACAACUUUUUCAUCUUUUCUCCUUUUCCUUUCUGCAUGUCUGGAUCAAGCGCAGAGGUGCUCUGAAUUAGUGAAGUUUACAUGUAUGUAUAAAAUCCCGUGUAAAUAAUAUCAUGAUUGAUAACAUUUAAUUCUUGUUCAUGUCUCAAAAUUCACUCAACUAUGAGAAAUGGAGAAAAAACGUCAUUUUCCUCUGAACAACUUACUUUGGUACUGUAACUAAACUUUCAUCUAUUUUCUCUCCUUAACAUCUUUUAAUCUUUUAAGUGUAUUAGUUUCACUUAUCACUCACACAGCGGAGAGUGCACUACACUCGCGCCAUGUCAUUGCCACAUCAGUGCCAUGUCGCUGCCACGUAAAAAGUUACCAUUGUUUUUUUAAAAAUCCUCACAUAAUAUAUCUAUAAUCUAUAUCUAUAAUCUAUAUCUAUAAUCUAUAAUAUACUAAAAAUGUGAAGACCCUUCAAAAAGUGAUUUAAACUUUUUGUACUUCAUUAAAAGACUUUCUUUAGACAAAACUGUCUUUUCACUAUUUCUUUAAAUUUAUUAUUUAAUUAUUUUUAUUAUAUUAACUAGGCUUCUUAAAAUAUAUGAGACUCAUAAAAUAUAUGAUAGAAGAAUCAAUUAAUAUUUUUCUUUUUCUACUAGAAUUCUUAAAAUAUAUAGGACUGCUAAAAUAUAUGGUAGGGGAAUUAAUUACUAAUAUUUUUUUUCUACUGUUCAAUUAGAAAAAUAUUCCUAAAAUAGGAUUCUAUUAAGGAAAUACUACGAUAAAUAUUGAAAUGUACGUUAUACUAGAAAACAAACCGGUUUGCCUAUUGGAGAAUAUGAUUGAUGUUCAUCUAACUUAAUUCAAUUGCAUGUCUAAAUUGGUGGAUAUUUGAUGUUCUAAUCCUCAAUUUCUUCACUGUUUUUGUCAGCAUAAUAUAAUUCGAAUGUGUGUGUAUAUAUAUAUAUAUAUUCUUUGUUUUAAUUCAAAAUCAUCUGCUAGGGUCAAAAUUUUCGCUCAGACAAAAAUUAGUUGGAUCAAAAUCGAAAUUUUGUGAUCACAAUUAUUUUUUUUUUAUAGUUUACAGGUCGUGAAUGAAUGUCAGUUGGACUUGAAGAAUUUCUUGUGUAAAGGUCAGGUUUAAUUGUAUUGUUUUGAUAUCUUUAUUAUCUUAUUGUUUUAUUUUAACUGUUAGAUGAAUGUGGGUCGACUUUGAAAUUUUUUGUAGGUAAAAGUUAGGUUUAAUUGUAUUAUCGUAAUAUCUCUAUUAGUUUGUUAUUUUGUGGUAGUUUACAGUUUGUAGAUGAAUCUCGAUCGGCUUUAAAAAAAAUUUGUGUGUAAAAUUUAAGUUUAAUUGUAUUGUUUUGAUAUCACUUUUAUCGUAUUAUUUUGUUGUAGUUUACAAGUGAUACAUAAAUGUUGGUCAGCUAUGAGGAAUUUUUUAAUGUAAAGUUUAGGUUUAGUUGUAUUAUUUUGAUAUCUCUAUUAUCUUAUUAUUUUGUUAUUGUUUACAAGUGGUAGAUGAGUGUCAGACGACUUUGAGAAAAUUUUUGUGUGUAAAGAUUCGAUUUAAUUGUAUUAUUUUGAUGUCUCUAUCAUUGUAUUGUUUUGUUGCAAUUUACAGAUGGUAGAUGAAUGCCGAUCGAUUAUUAAAAUAUUUUUUUUGUAAAGAUUAAGUUUAAUAAAUAAAUUCUCCAUCUUUACAUAUUCAAAAGAUAUUAAAUUUAAUUAUUAUAUUCAUCUUUAUUAUUUAAACAAAUAUCCUAUUUAGUGUAAUGUUUUAACUCAUUAAAGUGAAGUACACGCGCAAGAUGCGUACACCUAAACUAGUAUAUAUAUAUAUAUAAAUACCAAAAAAUACACUCCACCCCAUUUUUCUUUCUUCAUCAAACCCAUCCACCCGCACCCCGCGUGCCCCUUUUUCUUUCUUCUUCCCAGCCCCCACCCCACUCCCGCAAACACAAAAAAUACUCACCACCCCCUUUUCUUUCUUCUUCAAGACCACCCCAACCCCUCUCCCUGCAAUUCAAUUGAUGACAAUGGCCAUGGAUUUACAGUCUUGAUAAUUUUUUGCUAUGUAAAACAACAAAUUUGUUAUAAAUUUUUCUUUUUCUCAAUAAUCAAUUGAAAAAGUGUAUUAAAAUUUAUAAAUCUUUUUCUAUAUUUAUUUCUUUUUUGAACAAAUUGAUGAAGCGUAAUAGAGGUAGAGGUGGAGGGUGGGGGUUGGAGAUGCGGGUGUAAGAGAAAAAAAAUAGAAAAAUGGAGUGUGAGGUGCGGGGUUGGGGUGGGGUUGUCUGAAAACUUUUUGUGCUUAAAAGAGGGUGGGGAGUAGGGAUAAUCAUCUACUAUUUCUAGAUAAAUUAAUCGAGUAUUUUUUGAAAAAUUUGAUAAUUCAUCGAAUAUUUCUCGAAUUGAUGUUAUUUCUCGAAUAAUUACUUUACUUUGCUCCGGCCAUCAUUAGAAAUCAUUAUGAUUGAAUUUUAUAAUAAUCCCAUCGAAAAAAUGAUGUGGCUGUUAUAAAACAAUAAAGAACUAAGAAUAUUAACAUUACUAUUUUAAUAUCACUUGAAUUGAUGGAUAGUUCCUCAUUUUCUUGAGUCUCAGGCUCAGUAAUUCCUUCAGGAAUAUUAACAUUGUUCAAAUCUUGAACUUCCAUGUGAGGAUCUUUCGUAGAGUCAUCUUGACCAUUUGUUUUUCUUUUUCUAGGAUUUCGAUUCUUAGAACCUAAUGGUCUGCCACGCUUCAAGCGUGCUUUAUAUUCAUUAGCUAUGACACUAGUGGAUGGUUCUUUAGGGACAUCAAUUCGAAUUGGGACAUUCUCUGCAGGAAUAUGUGAUUUGGUGAUCCUUUUCAAAUCAGUAAAUGCAUUCGGCAUUUGAUUUGAAAUUUUCUGCAGAUGAAUAAUCUUUUGUACUUCUUGCUCACAAAUAAAAACACGUGGAUCAAGAUUAGAUAGUGAUGGAUUUUUUCACGAAAUUUCUCUUGUGAUGUUACUAUCUUCUCUCCCUAAUUUUGGGAAAACCACCUCAUCAAAUCGACAAUCUGCAAAUCGAGCAGUGAACAUAUCUUUUGUUAAUGGUUCAAGAUAGCGAAUAAUGGAGGGUGAUCCAAACCCAACAUAAAUUUCUAACCUUCUUUGGGGGCCCAUCUUGGUACGAUUUGGUGGUGCUAUAGGUACAUAUACACAGCACCCAAAAAUUUUCAAAUGAGAUAUAUUAGGAUUUUGAUCCAAAAUCAAUUGUAACGGAGAAAAUUUAUGAUAUUUUGUUGAUCUAAGACGAACAAGUGAUGCAACAUGCAAAAUUGCAUGACCCCAAACAGAAGCGGGCAACUUAAUUUUCAUAAGCAAUGGUUUUGCUAUCAACUGCAGACAUUUAAUUAAUGACUCGGCAAGGCCAUUUUGAGUGUGAAUAUGAGGUACAAGAUGUUCCACUCUUCUUAUCGCAAUCGAUAAGCAAUAGUCAUUAAAUGCUUGGGAUGAAAAUUCUAUAGCAUUAUCAAGGCAAAUAAACUUAAUUUGAUUAUCGAGAAACUGUGACCCUAAUCGUAUUAUUUGUGCCAAUAAUUUUGCAAAUUUCAAGUUGCGAGAUGACAAAAGGCACACAUGAGACCAUCUAGUGGAAGCAUCUAUUAGGACCAUAAAGUAUCUAAAAGAUUCACUAUGUGGGUGAAUGAGUCCACAAAUAUCCCCAUGUAUGCGUUCCAAGAACGCGGGGGACUUAAUCCCAACUUUUGUUGGCGAUGACCUCACAAUCAGCUUGCCUUGAUAACAAGCAUUGCAUGAAAAUUCACCAUUCGAAAGAACCUUCACGUUCUUUAAUGGAUGCCCAUUUGAAUUUUCUAUGAUUCGUCUCAUCAUUAUAGAUCCAGGAUGUCCCAAACGAUCAUGCCAAAGUACGAAAGUAUUGGAAUUAGUAAACUUCCGAUUUACUAUAGAAUGUGCCUCAAUUGCACAAAUCUUUGUCCAAUACAGGCCAGAAGAUAAAGCCGAGAAUUUUUCAAUAACACAUGUCUGCCCAGAGACAUUCUUGGUGAUACCAAGAUAUUCAAGAUUCAUCUCAUCAAUUGUCUUGAUAUGAUAACCAUUUUCACGGAUAUCUUUAAAACUCAUCAAGUUUCUCCGAGACUUAGGAGAAAACAUAAUAUUAUUUAUGAUGAGUUUAGUUCUCUUGGGCAAGAUUAUAAUGGUUUUUCUGAAGUAUUCAAUCAAAUUAGCACUACCAGAAAUUGUAGUAACAUUAAUCUUGCCCAUGUUUAGAUGAGAGAAUAUUUCUCGUGUUUGAAUAUCAUAUGUGUAGUGCCAGAAAUCAAACAAAUAUCUUCACAAUUGUACAACUUACUUUGAAAAUUAUCCAUAUCUUCAAAUAAAAUAACAUACACCAAAUAAAUAUAUAUUAAAUCUUUGUACAAAAUGAGCUUAUAAUAUAAGAAAUUGUUAAUCACACUUUAAUAAGCAAUAAAAAAAAUACUCCCUCCGUUUAAAAAAGAAUGAUCUACUUUAACUUGGUACAAAAUUUAAGAAAAUAAAGAAGAUUUUUGAAUUUUGUGGUUUAAAUUAAAGUUGUGUCAAAUGUACCAAAAUGUCAUUUAAUCUUGUGAUCCUAAACAUGUCAUGUGGAAAGUUGAAAUUAACAUAUUGCCAAAAAAGAAAAGAGGUCAUUUUUUUUUAAACGGACUAAAAAGAAAAGUAGAUCAUUCUUUUUGAAACAGAGAGAGUAUGUCCAUUUAGUAUGUGAUUAGCUUAGCUUAGCAUUUUAUUUUUCAAUAGCUUUAAUAGUUUACUAAGGAAAAAAAUGCAUUUUGUUCAGAACGUUAACAUGUAAACAAUAUGAUAUUAUUAUAUUACUAGAGGUGCAUGGCCCAUGUCAGCACGGGCCCAACACUAUAAAUAUUUUUUAGCACUAAAAUUUGAUAUUGAUGAGAUACAAAUAUAAAUAUACAUUUUUUUUAAUUAAAUAUUAUUGAUUCUGAUAUAUAAAUGACUUAUAAUAAUUAAUUAGAGGUAAUAUAGUAAAAAAUAUUAUUAAUUCUAAUGCGUAAAUAACUUAUAAUAAUUAAUUAGGGGUAAUAUAGUAAAUCACUGAGCAAUUAGGGGUAAUAUAGGCAGACAUGUCAUCUAUUUUUUUAAUUAAAUANNNNNNNNNNNNNNNNNNNNNNNNNNNNNNNNNNNNNNNNNNNNNNNNNNNNNNNNNNNNNNNNNNNNNNNNNNNNNNNNNNNNNNNNNNNNNNNNNNNNNNNNNNNNNNNNNNNNNNNNNNNNNNNNNNNNNNNNNNNNNNNNNNNNNNNNNNNNNNNNNNNNNNNNNNNNNNNNNNNNNNNNNNNNNNNNNNNNNNNNNNNNNNNNNNNNNNNNNNNNNNNNNNNNNNNNNNNNNNNNNNNNNNNNNNNNNNNNNNNNNNNNNNNNNNNNNNNNNNNNNNNNNNNNNNNNNNNNNNNNNNNNNNNNNNNNNNNNNNNNNNNNNNNNNNNNNNNNNNNNNNNNNNNNNNNNNNNNNNNNNNNNNNNNNNNNNNNNNNNNNNNNNNNNNNNNNNNNNNNNNNNNNNNNNNNNNNNNNNNNNNNNNNNNNNNNNNNNNNNNNNNNNNNNNNNNNNNNNNNNNNNNNNNNNNNNNNNNNNNNNNNNNNNNNNNNNNNNNNNNNNNNNNNNNNNNNNNNNNNNNNNNNNNNNNNNNNNNNNNNNNNNNNNNNNNNNNNNNNNNNNNNNNNNNNNNNNNNNNNNNNNNNNNNNNNNNNNNNNNNNNNNNNNNNNNNNNNNNNNNNNNNNNNNNNNNNNNNNNNNNNNNNNNNNNNNNNNNNNNNNNNNNNNNNNNNNNNNNNNNNNNNNNNNNNNNNNNNNNNNNNNNNNNNNNNNNNNNNNNNNNNNNNNNNNNNNNNNNNNNNNNNNNNNNNNNNNNNNNNNNNNNNNNNNNNNNNNNNNNNNNNNNNNNNNNNNNNNNNNNNNNNNNNNNNNNNNNNNNNNNNNNNNNNNNNNNNNNNNNNNNNNNNNNNNNNNNNNNNNNNNNNNNNNNNNNNNNNNNNNNNNNNNNNNNNNNNNNNNNNNNNNNNNNNNNNNNNNNNNNNNNNNNNNNNNNNNNNNNNNNNNNNNNNNNNNNNNNNNNNNNNNNNNNNNNNNNNNNNNNNNNNNNNNNNNNNNNNNNNNNNNNNNNNNNNNNNNNNNNNNNNNNNNNNNNNNNNNNNNNNNNNNNNNNNNNNNNNNNNNNNNNNNNNNNNNNNNNNNNNNNNNNNNNNNNNNNNNNNNNNNNNNNNNNNNNNNNNNNNNNNNNNNNNNNNNNNNNNNNNNAUAAAUGACUUAUAAUAAUUAAUUAGGGAUGAUAUAGUAAAAUCAUGGUUAAAGCAGCUGAAACAAACAUUAUAAAUAUCUAUUUUUUUAAUUAAAUAUUAUUAAUUUUCUAUAAAUGACUUAUAAUAAUUAAUUAGGGAUAACAUAAUAAAAAUAUUAUUAAUUUUAAUAUAUAAAUGACUUGUAAUAAUUACUUAGGAAUAAUAUAAUAAAUCACGAAAUAAAUAGGGUGUAAUAUAGUAAAUAAUGGGGAUACUAAAAUAAAUCCACGAAGAGGUGGUCGAAAUCACCUCUUCUAUAUAAUAGAAAAAAAAAGAAAUAUUUGAUGAAGAAUGAAAUAAUAUUAUUAUAAUUCAAUAGUAUGGAACAUAAAGAAUACAAUAAAAGAAAUAAAGGGCUUAGGCGGGUCCUUGGUUGCUAGCCAACAAUCACUUUUUUUUUUCAGGUUACAAUUUGCUUUCCAUUACAAUAGACAUAUUCACAGAUUACAAUUUGCUUUCAAUUGUAUCGUGUUUUUUUUCUUCUUUUUUUCAAUAAAUAAUGACCAAAUUAAAGUUUGAUUUAACUCAAUUAUAAACAACAAUAAUAUAAUUAAACUAAUCAAUACUAAUCAAAAACUAAUAUUCAUGCAAAUAACUACUUUUACAUGAUUCUUUAUUCACUAACUCUUAUCAAUAAAAAUAAAACAAAAUUAAAUAUCAUUCAUUCUUCCAUGUUUACGAAACCAUCACCAAUCAAGUGAUCAAUCUUUUCUUCGGGAUGCUCAAAAAAAUUUGUUACAUCCAAACUUGUGAUGUCAACAGCAUUUUCAGAGAGAAAGUUAGCCUCGGGAUUUCUCUCUUUCAUCUUUAGUGAUGCUUGAGAAAGAUCAACCAAGUGCUUGAGAGCACGGCAGUCACAUGAAUAAUGUCCUUUUCCACCACAUCGGAAACAAGUAAUUGCUUCACGUAUCUCAUCUUUUUUCUUUUUGUUCGAUGAAUGAUUAACACCCGGAACAGGGUUUCUUUCUUAGUCAUCACGACCACAACCACGACUACGUCCACGACCAGGACAACGGUCUUUUCUACGCCUAGCAUGGUGAACAUGUACAUCAUUCACCUCAGGAAGUGGUGCAGAUCCAGUAGGUCGAUUCUCGUGAUUUUUCAUCAACAAAUCAUUAUUUUGUUCAGUCACGAGAAGAUGAGAACUCAUUUCAGUAUACUUCUUCAAACCUUUUUCUCGAUAUUGUCGUUGUAAUAGCACAUUCGAGGCAUGAAAAGUGGAGAGCGUCUUUUCCAUCAUAUCAUUAUCAUUGAUUGUCUCUCCACAUAGUUUCAAUUGAGAAGAAAUUCUGACAUGGCAAAAUUGUACUCAUGAACAGACUUAUAGUCUUGAAAUCUCAGAUGUAUCCAUUCAUAUCGUGCUUUUGGGAGGAUGAUCAUCUUUAAGUGGUCAAAUCUUUCUUUUAGGCUAUUCUACAAUAUGAGUGGAUCCUUAAUAGUAAGGUAUUCAAUUUUCAGAAUUUCGUCAAGAUGAUAAUGCAAAAAAAUCAUAGCCUUAACACAAUUUUGACUAGAUGUUGUAUUUUCAUUCUUUAUGGUGUCUCCAAGACCCAUAGCAUCUAGGUGAAUUUCAGCAUCCAACGCCCAUGAAAUAUAGUUCUUGCCUGAACUUUAAAGGGCAACGAACUCACACUUCGUAAGAUUGUUAGCCAUAUGGAAAAAGGGAAGAAAAUAAAAAAUAAUACCUUAGCCUUAGCCUUCAAAUUUGAGACGGUAGAGUCUCGUGCUGAUAAUGUGUUAUAAAACAAUAAAGAACUAAGAAGAAGAGUAGAGAGAAUAAUUGUUAUUUCUCUCUUAGGGAUGAUUUACAAUGAAGGAAACCCUUCUAUUUAUAGGGAAAAUUUGCUCCUAAUUUCACACUAAAAGACAGAUAUAUCAAAUUCUGAUAGACAUCAAAUAGAUCUUGAUAGACAUUCACUAUAAUUGAUAUAUAUCAUAACAGUGACAACCUUAAUUAGUUCUUAAUUUUAAUUUAAGAGAAUAUAAUAUAUUAGCCAUAUCUUGACCCUUUUUAUAUGUGUCCAACCCGAUUUUCCUUAUGGAUUAUAUAAUGGAAGAAUAUCAAUUUCUCAAUAGAUUAGGUUAUCUUGUGAAGACCAUUUUUAUAAAAAAAUUUGAUUGAUAUUUUUAUGAAAUAAAAUUAUAUUUAUAUAUUCUUAAAAUCUUCUAAAGUUGAGACAUGUGUUGGUAAAUUAUUUUUUUCCUCUAAUAUUAUGGCAUGUAGUUGAUAAAAUUAUUUUUCUCCCUAUAAAAAUGUGACAUUUAAUUGAGAAAAUUAUUUUUUUCAUACAUAUCUUUCUUGCCACUUGAGCUUUCACAUUCGGUAUAUCAUAAUAAUAUGAUAAACUAUUCUAUUUAUUGAGUUUGUCUUUAUAUUUUUAAUUGUUUGACUAAUCGAUUAAUACUCUUAAAAGUUUUUUUUAUAAUAUUUAGUUUCUGAUAAAUUACAUAUUAUUUAAUUAAUUCAAUUGAUAAAUAUAAAAAUUGAAUAUCUUAUAAUUUUUUUUAUGUAUUAAAGUACUUAUAUUUUAUAACUUUUAUUAACACAACUAUUAAUAUAACAUUAUUUGUAAAAAAUUUGACAAUGCUUAUUUAAUAACACAAUUAAAAAUAUAUUAUUUUAAAACUAUCUUUUAGCAUGUUGAUUAAUCUUUAAAGAAUUACAAUAAUUUUUUUAAAAAAUAAUAUCAUAUAUUUAUUUCUAUUUUAUGUGUUUUGAAGAAUUUAUCUUAUUUAUCACUCUUUUUCACUACAUCUUUUUUGCAGAUAGAUGCAAUAUUAUGAAAUGUUUCAUAAAAAUAGCAACCAAUUUUUUUUUUUUAUGAAAAUAGUAUUCAUUAGUUAGUCUAAUCUAUUAAAAAAUUGAUAUUCUUUCAUUAAAUAAUUCAAAAGGAAAAUUGAAUUGUGCAAAUAUAAAAAGGGGUCAAGAUAUGAGUAAUAUAUUAUAUAUUUACUUAUAUUAAAAUUAAGAAUUAAUUAAGGCUGUUACAUUAUUUUUACGAUGAAAUUAUUGUAAAAUUCGUGAUGAUAUGAUGGUCGAAGAAAAGUUAAAUGACUUUUGUAUAAUGAACGAAAGAAAAAUAAUUUUUGCCAGACACAAAAUUAGUAUUUCAACUGCAAAAAUUGUGCCCGUACACCGGAUGAAAUAUUAAAAAUUAAAAUGAGUUCAAGAAUCAUGUGCAACAGGAAAUGUUGACUUUUAAAUUCUGAAUGAAUUGGUCCAAAAUUGUCGAAGAAACUACAAAUUGCAGCCAACCAUGGAGUGCUAAUUGAAUGAAGAACUAUUUAGGGCAUGUGUGGAUAGGCUGGAAAAAAAAAAAGGCUUUUAAAAGGUAUUUUUGAAAGUACUGAAUUUGUUUUAAAAAUAAGAAGUUAUGUAUUUGUAUAAAAAUGCUGAAACUGAAAAAAGAUUAUUGAUGUAUAUGGUAAAUAAAUGUUUUUAAAUAUUUUUUUUGUCAAAAUGUCUGAAAUACUCUUAAAGCUAUUAAGGAUAUGUAGAGUUGAUUAUUGUUAACUUUUAUUUCUAAAAUGAUUCAGAUUAAUCACUUGUAAACGUUCCCUUAGUUUCAUCAUGUAUUUGGUCAUAGUAUUUAGGAAACAUAUUUCACUUGUAAACGUUUCCAAAAAAUGAAAUUUGAUUCAAAUACUAUUUUUUUCUAGUAUUUGAGAAUUUGAAUUAUUUGUCAAAAAUAGUUACCAAAUAAUGACAAAUUAUAAGGCCAAACAUUAUUUGUCAAUUUUUUUCUAAAAAAUUACUUAAAAAUUUUAUGAUCAAUCGGGUUCUAAACAUCAAUUAAUAGAGAUAGUAAGGUAAAAUAAUCAUAUAAUAAUUAUUUUUUAAUAAGUGUAUCAUGUCAAAAAGUGAUAGGUUAAAGCCAAAUGGAAGAAAUAUUAUUUUGUCAUGAUAUUUUCUAAUGCUAAGAAAAUCUGAUAACAAGUAUUCACACAAGUUCCUCUUUUAAAAAAAAAAUAAAAAUUGAGGGAUAAAAAUAUCUUCUUUUUUAAAAAGUAAAAAAAUAAAAAAUUUAAAAAAUUGAGGGAUAAAAUUAUCUAUUAUUUUCCAUUUUUUUUUUAACUUGGAGUUGGUGAAGUGCUGUUCUCAAUCCGUUUUGUAAGUGGAAGAGGUAGUGCAUGUUACACAUCGUACUCGAGAGGGGUGAAUGAAACGGAACCUCGUUUCUAUUGUUUUGUAUGUGUGAUAAGUUAAAAGCCUAAAAGUCAUGUUUUGUAAAGUGAUGGUUAAAUGAGACAUGUUAGUGGAGUGUUGGCCGAUCACGAAUUACAUGUUCAGAAAAUAAAAGUAGCGAAACAAAGAUGUUGAGAUGGAUGUGUGCAAAUACUAGGAGAGAGAAGAUCAAAAACGAAGUUAUGCGACAUAAGGUGGGAGUAGCUUUCGUGGUGGACAAAAUGGGGAGGCGAGGUUUGAGUGUUUGGACACAUAAAGAGAAGAUGCACAUAUUCCUAGUGAAGAGGCGUGAGAAGUUGGUUGUAGUGGGCUAGUGUAAAGAAGGGUAGAGAUAAGCUGAAGAAGUUUUGAAGCGAGAUGAGUAGACAGGACAUGACACUUCCAGAUUACUGAGGACAUAUCCUUAGGUAGGAAGAUGUGGAGAUCGAAGAUUAUGGUAGAAGGUUAGUAGGUAGUUGAGUAUUUUCGAGUUCCCUUAUCAGUAUGGCAUUAUUACUCUUCUAACUAGUAGUAUUAUAUUUUUCAAUUACCUGUUGUUUUUAUUGCUUCAGUUAUCAUAAUAUGUUUUCCCCUAGUGCUUUAUUUCAUUGUUUUAUGUUUAUCCUAUAAAUUUCUUACAACAAAUAUGAAAUUUGAACAAAAAUUAAUGAAUUCAACCAAACAUGUAAUCUUUACUCUAGCUCCACCCCCGCUAGGAAGGAGAUAAAGGUUUGCCACGCAUUAGAAAUUACAAACAUGACUUACAGGGGAUUACCAAAACAACUACCGAAAAGAGUUGAAGGAACCUCAAAAACCAUGUUAGUUGCUUUGGUUCUUGUCUGACUUAUUUACUUCACCAUUUUGCUGCGGGGUGACAGAUGUAGUCAUCAAAUCAAAACCCAACUUUUGCUUUGUGAUAUCAUCAAGAACCUCAAUCAUUUCCUUUGAAAGAUGGUUCUUGAAAUCCCCCACUUUGCCUUGCCGAAAAUAUAUGUUGUUUGCACUAGUAGGACCAAACGGUCCAGAGUAUGUGCCCUCUUUAUUCACCUCCAAAUUACUCAGUUUCUCAAAGCUGCAGAGCUCUAUUAGUCUCUCUACAAUGCCUUCACUUUCUUCCUCCAACGAAAAUGGCUGCCCCAAGAACUCUGCUAUUCUCUUUGCAUUAAAGAUUGGAUCUUUCUUCAAAUCCUCAUACUUCAAGAAAAGAACCCUCUCUGGAAAUUCUAAGCUGGCUUUAUAAUAUCCCAUCACAUGAUCCCAAAAUGGACCAAAAGGGAAUAACCUUUAGUAAAUUGGUCAAAUGCUUCUGAUAGAGAACUGAUAGGCGUGUCUUUGGGUCUUAAUUUCUGCAUAAAGUACCAGAAAGAAACCAACACAUCUUUUGCAUCGCGAAACACAGACUAUUUUGCAUUUGGAGUCAUCACCUGUUAUAGACUCUGGCAAAGCAUUGAAGACAAGAUGUGAUUGUAUGAGACAAGUGUUUGGUGUUGGAUUUGUUGGGUGCAUAAAUGCAUAGGCCUCUAGAUGGGGUACUAACUCAUGUGGGUUUGAAGAGAGCAGAGGGUGUGUGCUAUAAUAGUCGUAUUGUGAUCUGUUUGUAAUGGCAAAAAGAAGGGCCUUGAGCCAUGUGGUGCCAGACUUUGGGUAACUGGCUAGUAAGACACUAUUUGGUUUUGGUUCAAAUUGAUGCUGCUCAAGUACUAGCAAACCUUGUAGAACAUUUGUCGAAUACCAAGUACCUUUGUAUUGGUAAAUCUGAUCAUUUAGCCAGCCUCUUUCACUAGGAAGAUCAACGGAUUCUUGGUGAUUUUCAUGGUUUUGUUCUUUGGUGGCAACAUUUGUGUGUGAGGAGGAGUUUUGGGUAGAGAAGAAGUUUGCCAUUUGAGUUAAUGAGCAAAAGAAUAGAAACUCUUGCUACAUUUAUAAGACCACUUAAGUUUGUAUCUAUUAUGUAAAAGUCAUUUUUCUUUUAUUCAUUAUAAUAAAGUUAUUUUACUUUGCUCCUGUCACAACCCGAACCGAGGCCCUGGCCGUGACGGGCAAUCCCGAGCCGUGAUGGCCCGAGCGCCCCUUUUUCAACAGGCAAUCAUAAACAUGUCCAUACAAUAUUAAGGGAAAAUGAGAAAAAAAAAUGGAUUUGUACGGAAACAUGGCCAAUAAUAUCACACUACCGAAAAAUCAAAAGAGUUCAACAACUCAUCAGCAUCAUCUAACAUCUGUCUGCAAAAUCUCUAGUACAUCAAAUCCAGAUAUCACAAUCGAAAACUGGGACAAGGCCCCCAGUAGACCCAAAUCUAAAUAAAUAACAAAUGUCUGAAAAGGUCUGGCCCCACCAACUGCACACUGCUAACUGAUGGUUCUACUGCUUAACAAUACCUUUUGACUGAGCCUCAGACCCUGAGAAGGUAGGGGGUCAAUACAAUUGUACUGGUAUGCAAAGUAAUCCAAAAAUAAAAUACAACUUUUAUGUAACAUAUGUGAGAGCCAUCUUAAAACACUUAAAUGAAAAAUCGUUUGAAAACACAUGGGCAUAGUAUGAUGAUUUAUCAAUAAUAAUGCAGCACUACUGAGCUAGGUGGGACACCCUACAAUUUCAUAUUUUCACCAACUGCCAAACCUCGGUUGUCACUAAGAUUGAAAUAUUAGUGAGGGGAGGACGCACAAGAUCACACAGCAGGGUGCCAUAACCCAAAUCAAUUCAAUAUGUUGUGGUUGGGCUCAAGAUCACAAAGUAGGGCUCCUAACCAUUGGUCCCAAUUUGGGAUGACAUAGUACUAGGUACACAAGAUCAAAUAGCAGGGUACCAAGUUCCCGUGUCGGCAAAUCACGGUUUCCAGAAUAGAGUUAUUUGACUCGUGAUUUCUUCGGGUAACCACCUAACUCACAUCAAUUUAAGCUGUACGCUUGAUUUAAGACAGAACAUGCAUCAUACUCACAACGUUCUUUCCUUCUUUUCAUUCGAGGCAACUCCUCUGCGGGGUAUCAUCAUAUCCCGACUUGCAAGUCAUCAGUACCACAUCAAUUCUCAAAACCUCUUAUGCAAAUCAUAAUAUGAACACACAUAAAACUUCCACACAUCAAACACAUGCAUAAAGAUUCCUAUCACGUAAUAGUCAAGAAACUUCAUCAUUUGUAAAGUAGUACAGUGGGGCUUAUAAAACUCAUGCUCUCAAUAGUUUAAUACGAGUAUCAUGUGGGGUACAAAAACAUUAUCAUGGGGAAAUUUAAGAAUUUACAUUUCAUAUUCAUCACAUCCUUUGAAAUUCAAAUCACAUGUCCACAAAUUCAACAAUUUAGGUAUAUAAGCAAACACCCCAUGAUCUUUCAAUAUCCCUUUCAAAAUCAUAUCACGAAGAAUGUUGUUGGUAUUAAAACGAAACCCCACUUAUAAUAUCAUACAUACUUAUGUGAAUAUUAAAAAUCUUGUUUAAAUUCGUAUCAAAAUCAUGCCCAUGAGAUUUAGGACAACCACACAUACUUUAAAUUAGGAACCUUGAAUGAACAGUUAUUUUUCGGGACUCUAUUCGCAACUUUGAACGGAUGUUCUUGAUGCUCUUAGUUUGGGGAUUCCGAUUCUAGAAUCAAUUUAAAAAACUAAUGGUGAAAUCUUGAGUAGUAUUGAUCUUUGGGUUAAAACCCUAGGAGUUCUUGGUGAAUUUUGAGGAAAAUAUCAAUAAUGUGGUGUUUUGGGAGUAUAAUCCCGUGUUUAAGAUGAACAAGGGGUUGAAAAUACCCAAUAUACCCUUAAUGAUUUGGGUUGAAAAGCUGAAAUUAGCCCAGCGCGAUUGGCAAGGCCCCGCGGGGGAUAACCCGCUGGAUUAGGCAGGGCACCACCUUACCUAUCGCCUUGCCCUUCCCAGGUGAGGCAAUCCGCAGGGCACCGCGGGCUAAUCUAAUACAAGUCAAAUGGCCUCCUUAGCUUUCGGUGAUAUCCUUCAAAGUCUCUAUGUGAAGAAUCAAGCUUUGGUCGUAUGGAGGGCACGGGAUCAUGCUUGGAGGGGUCGUUAUGAGCAUGCCAUUGGACAAACCCGAGAGUGGAAGAUUGCUUGGACCCUUGAAGACUUGAGGACUCUGGGGUUGGACCACACUUUGUUGGUUCACGAUUUUGGAUCCCUUCAUUAAGGGCAUUAUGUUCACUUAGCCUUAAAGGCAUUUUGGUCAAUUCAUAGUGUUUUUCAACACACCAAGGCCACCCCUUGGUCAUUAAGGGUGGCUUAGUCAUUUUGCCAUGUAAUAGGCUAGGCUAUAUAUAGUCUCUUUUAGGUCUUUUCUUACUAGUUUUUGAAUGAUGAAUAUGUAAAAGACUUCUUCUCUCUUUGAGAGUGUAACAUCCUUAGUGUAGGGCUUGGAUAAGCAAUUAGUGUAGGGCUUGGAAAAGCCUUUAUUGAUCUUUGCUUAGAAACAAUGGUUGUAAGGUGGAGUUGAUUCCCUUAGCGGUCACCGUAAGAACUUGGUACUUAUUAACUUGUUUUGUAGAGGUUUUAGAGUUUUGAUACACUCUUUAGUUGCUACCUAAUGGGUUCUCUUUGUGUCAAGUUAGCUAUUUUUUACUCUUUUUAAGUUUAUGUUUGCUUCUCGUAUCGUGUUGUUGUUUUGUUGUUGCAGGUAAAGGCUUGUGAUUGUGGGUUGUUUGCGGACUAUUUUAGUGUUGUAGAUACCGUUUGAUAUCAUAAUCGCCUCGGCUCACUGUUUCGCAACCCCAAACGUGCCCUUAAGCUCGUCUAAAAAUUUCAAAACUCCCCCGAGAUGUACUUUCGACUCGCCCCAUCUCAUAUCAACAAAAAAAUUAGCAAACGAAGGUCGAAAAGGUCAUAAAAUAAAUUCUCAAAGAUUUGGAGCUCAAAAUGAGACUAAGGCUCCAUUUGUUUUUUUAAAGAUUCAGACGUCUGAAUCUGAAUGCACAUCUAAAUGAUUAAGAUGUUGUCUCUAGAUCUGAAAACUGAAUGAUUAAGACUGUUUGUUUUUCAACAUCUGAAUAUGUAAAAAAAUUUAUUUGUAUACAUAAAAAAAUAAAAAAUAAAAUUCAAAUAAAAAAUUAAUUAUCUAUUAAAAAAGUAUGUAAUUUAAUACAAUAAAAUUAUUAGUAUUUGAUUGAGAAAAAACAUUUAUGUUUAUUAGUGAUAGUGGAGAUGACUAAUAAUUGUGGUUGCGGUGACAAUGAUUAAUAUUGUUGGUGAUAAUUGUGAUGGUUGGUAUUGUAGUGACUGUUAUGAUGGUGGCGAUUGAUGGUGGUGGUGGUUAUUGUGAUGUGACGUUGCUUGAUAUUAGUAAUUUAAGGUGUUGAUUGUGUUGACUGAAACAUGAAUGCAUGAUGAUUGACGAUGUGUUGGUGCUAGUUGGAGAUUUUAUUUGUUGUGAUGUGAAGAUGGUUGUUAGUAGAGAUAAAUUGUAGCGAUGAUACUAAUUGAGUAGUGGUAGAGGUGGAAUUACUAGUGACAAUGCUGGUGGCGGUCAAAGAAUGUGUAGAGGUUGUGAUGUAUUAGUGGUGGUGCUAGUUGUGAUAAAUGAGUUGGUUGGUAUAGGGAUUGACCGCUAGUGGUUGCUGAUUGUGUUGUUGUUGAAGGCAGUGGUGGUGGUGAAUAUAAUUAGAAUAAAAGAGGUAGUAAGUGUGGUAGCGGUUGACAAUUGUGGUUGGUAGAGGUAUUUUUUAUCGAUGGUGGUUGGGAUGGUAUUUUUUACAAUAAUCCCACCGAAAAACUGAUGUGACAACUUUAAUUAGUUCUUAAUUUUAAUUUUGAAGAAUAUAAUAUAUUACUCAUAUCUUGAUUCUUUUUAUGUGUGCCCAACCUAAUUUUUCUUUUGAAUUAUAUAACGGAAGAAUACCAAUUUCUUAAUAGAUCAGGCUAUUUAAUGAAGUUUAUUUUCAUAAAAAAAAUUGAUUGAUAUUUUUAUGAAACAUUUCAUAAUAUUGCAUUCAUAUGCCAGAGAGGUACAUCGAAAAAGAGUAAUAAACAAGAUAAAUUCUUCAAAACACAUAAAAUAGAAAUACAUAUAUAAUAAUAUUUUUGUAAGUUAUUUUAAUUCCUUAAAGAUAAAAUCAUUAUGCUAAAGAUAGUUUUAAAAUAAAACCUUUUUGAUUUUGUCAUCGAAUAAGUAUUGUAAAAAUUUAUACAAAUAAUAUUAUUGACAAUUGUGUUAAUAAAAGUCAUAAAAUAUAAGUAAUGUAAUGUAUAAAAUAUUUAUCAAUUGAAUUAAUUAAAUAAUAUAAAAUUUAUCAGAACUGAAUAUUAUAAUGAAAACUUUUUAAAAAAUUAACCGAUUAGUCAAACAAUUAAAAACACAAUGACAAACUCAAUAAAUAGAGUAGUUUAUUAUAUUAUUAUGAUAUACAGAAUGCUAAGGCCCAAGUAACAAGAAAUGUAUGAAAAAAAUAAUUUUAUCAACUACAUAUCACAAUUUUAGAGAGAGAAAAGUAAUUUUAUCAACAAUAUGUCACAAUUUUAGUGGGAGAAAGGUAAUUUUAUUAACUAUAUGUCACAAUUUUAGAUGAGAAAAGUAAUUUACCAACUACAUGUCACAAUUUUAGAGGAUUUUAAAAAAACUAAAAUUACCAUAAUCAUAUCAAUUACAUGUCAUAAUUUUAGAGGAGAAAAAUAAAAUUACCAUAAUCAUAUCAAUUACAUUUCAUAAUUUUAGAGGAGAAAAAUAAUUUACCAACACAUAAAUUUUAGAGGAUUUGAAGAAAAUCAAAACUAUCAUAGUGUCAUUGUGAGGACUAUCAAAUUUUGAUAGCCUCCCUUAUAUAUAAGUAUAAUUUUAGUUUCAUAAAAAUGUCAACCAAUUUUUUUUUAAUUAAAACGGACUUCACUAGGUAGCCUAAUCUAUCAAGAAAUUGGUAUUCUUUCAUUAUAUAAUCCAUAAGAAAAAUCGGGUUGGGCACAUAUAAAAAGAAUCAAGAUAUGAGUAAUAUAUUAUAUUCGCUGAAAUUAAAAUUAAGAACUAAUUAAGGUUGCCAUAUCAUUUUUUCGGUGGGAUUAUUGUAAAAUCCGGCCAUAGUGACUUUUAUGAUGGCCGGAGCAAAGUAAAAUGACUUUUAUGUAAUGACCGAAAGAAAAAUGACUUUUGUGCAAUAGGCUCAAAGUUAAGUGACCAUGGAUGAAAUUUACUCUAAGACUAAGAGGUUCGUUUGGUAGUUAGUCAGGAGUUAAGUUGUUUAUUAUUGAGCAGUUAGUUGCCCUCACACAUGCCGUAGUUGUCCAGCCGAAACUUAGCUGUUCAUUGUUAAUUACUUGCUUAUUUGUUGUUAAUUUCGGUAGUUAGCAGUGUUGAGAUAUAGUAUUAACCAUGGAGUUUGUGUUAUAGUAUUGUAUUUUCAUCCCAUGUAAAGACUAUUUAUUUUAUUAAUAAAAUCUUUAUUUGAAUAAAUCAUUGUGUUAACAUGUGUGUCCUUCACUUAUAUAGUAAACAAUUUUGUGUAUGGAGUAUUUUAACUCAUGCAUGGAAGAUUAAAAUUGUCGGUUCUUAUAAGUAAUAAAUUAAUAUUCACAAUCAAAGAUGAGGUAGGACAAACAUCUUGAUGAUUGUAGCACAGUAUUAAAUAUAAUUUGAUCUUAAUUAUGGGAGUAAUAAUAUUCCAACUUCUUGUGCAAGUACAUCUCGUAUGUAUUGAACGGACCAAUUAGAGAUAUUCCUUUAUGUUCUGAAUAUUAAUAAACGAUUUCUCUAGACCAUUACAUGUACUUAUAUUCUUAAUCUUGAUAUAAUUAUUAUGAUCUAUGUGGUUUGUUUUAUCGUUUUAAUCUAUUAAAAGGUGAGACUCUUUUAUGAGUCAACAUAUUCCUGAUAGGUUGGAUGAUGACAAAUCACUUAGUGAAAUAUCAAUUAGUUGAUAGAACCAUGUCUCGAACUUGAGAUAGAAGACACCCCUUUAUGGUUGCUUAUAAGUUUUCACAUAAAAACCCUGCAGGUGGAUUUUGUAUCUGUCAUGUGAAAUAAGUUAAGCAUUAUAAAUAAAGGAUUAAAUUAAUCAAUGAGUUAAAUUUUUCAGAGAAUUUAAUUUAAUUGAUUGGUGUCGGUAAUUCUAACAUGGGGAGUUAAGUAAGAUGUAAUAGUAGAUUUUAAAAUUAAACCGAGGAGUAUAAUUACAAAAUUUUAGUGGAAUAAUUUGUAAUUUAUUGUGAUAUGGUAAUUCGUUUAUUUGCGAAUUAAUAUCAUAAUUGGAAGCCCCACUUAAUAAAUCUGUGGUCCCUACUAUACUUGAUUAACUAAUCAAUUUUGGAAAAGAGAAAGAACUUACUAGAAAAAAGUAAUAUUACUUACUGGUCUUCUACAAGAAAAAGAAAUCUUCUAUUUUUAAAAAUAAAAAAAAAAUCUUUUGAAAAAUUAAAGAGGCAGAAAACAUUUUGACAAUUGAAAAGCCAUAUACUGUUGCCUCUUGGAUCCCUCGUUAUGUAAAAUAUGAAUAAAUAAUUAAAAAGCCAUAAACUUUGCCUCUUAACUCCCUCUUUAUGUAAAGCAAGAAUAAACAAUUGAAAUGUAAGAAGUUUUUGUUGUCUUAUUUUUUUUGUUGGCUUUCCCCUAAUAUGAAUAUAUAGGGGUUUUGGCUAAGAAGAAAUAUACUAUUUUCCUGGACAUAUUCUCUUUGAAUUCAAAAGUAUUUGCCCACACAAGUUUGAUAACAAAAGUCAGUAGGAUAUAGUAGAAGACUGUAGCCCUGAAGGUAAAAACAAUGAAUAAAUUGUGUGAAAGCUUUAGCAGGUAAGUAGCUUUUUAAUUUCGUUUGAUAAUUUAUGUUGUCUAAAUUAUAUGUAAGUUAUUGAUCCUGUAGAAUUGUUGCUUCCGUUGUGCAUGAUCUAACAAUUGGUAUCAAAGCUCUUCUUAUAUAUGCUAGAUAAUGUAAAAGAAAUUACAUGAUUUGUUGUACAUAUUUCGGAUAAUAAUUGUAUAAAUCAUGUUGUUGGCUGCUUUUCAUGUUUUUGAUAUCAUGUUCUUGCUGGCUAUUGUUCAUAUUUUUUUGAUGAUAUUAUUGAUUCAAAAAAAAUUGAAGUUUCUCAUCAAGAAAGCAUAAAACGAAUUUUGCAUAGUUUAGAGGAAAUUAGUUUUAUAGCUUAAAAGCAAAACGAUGAUGAGUCUCGACCACGACCAACUAUAGUCGUUACUCACUGAAUGGACAGUAGCAGUAACGCCAAGAAGUGCAGGCAUCCUUGUUGUCCCUCGCAACAGCUCGGCCAAUAAUUACCGAUUUGGUCGAUUUUGGAGUUUUUUCAGUUUUUGACGAACUCCGAAUGACUUAAAAUUUGUUACGUUUAUUGAAAAUGAUCCACUGAAUAAUACUCACAGUAUACUGUGUUUCAUGCCGUUUUUGACCAUUCGGGGUUGUUUUGAUGAGGUUUUUUGGUGUUUUUAUAUUUUUGAAAAAAUUAUCUUUUGCAAACCAGUGGUGAUAGGGAUCAUUCUUUAUGAUUUCCAUUGGUUAAUAACAGUAAAUAUUAUGAGUUUACAUGUUGACAUUGGUCAUCUUCCCCAUCAGAUAAACUUGUAUAUUGUAAUACUGUUUUAUAGUUGAGUUUUUGAUAACUUGUAUUAACUUUCCAACUAAGUUGCAUGUUAGCUCAAUGGUACAGAGACUUAUGAAAUGUGAUAUUUAUCUAACUUAAAUCAACAGUUUACUCUCCAAUUGAGUUGGUUCUGUCUUGUUUAAGAGAUGAAAUAUCUGACAUUACAUGUAUAUUUGCUUAAAUGGUUAAGUUUCCCUAACGACUCUAACUAUUUAUGUGGUGGUUAUAUGUGUGAUGUGAUUUUAAGAAUUUUAUUAUUCUGCAACAUGUUUAAUGAUCUUUGUUUAAUUCUAUUAUAUAACAGAUUAACCAUGUUGUCAUUCAAUCCAUUAACCUCUAUCCUGAAUCAAAAUAAACUAGAAGGCCCUAACUGUGUGGACUACUACUGAGAGCUUUAAAUUUGUGCUGUUGAUGAAUGUCCUGUUAAGUCAUAUAAACUAACUGAUAAUGAGAUUAAAGGCUACGAUAAGUGGGUCAAGUCUGAUGAGAUGACAAGAUGCUACAUACUUGCCUCUAUGGCAAAUGUGUUGCAGCAUCAACAUCAGUCCAUGACUGUUGCUUAUGAUAUGCUUGAAUCUCUCAAAGAGAUGUUUGGUGAGCAAAAUUGUGCUGCAAAGCAGACGGCCAUGAAGGCUCUUUUGACCACAAAAAUAGUUGAAGGAAUUUUAGUAAGGAAACAUUCUUAAAAUGAUGAGUUUGUUGAACAAGUUGGAAAUUCUUGGUGCGGUUAUUGAUAAGGAAUCUCAGGUUGAGAUGGUCCUGCGGACUCUGCCAGACAGUUUUCAAUAGUUUUGCUUGAAUUAUAAUAUGAAUAAGAUGGAUUUAUCUCUUGCGAAACUGUUGAAUGAGAUGCAAGCGGCAGAAUCUAUCAUUAAGCAACAAGCUCCUCCUGCGGCGUUCAUGGUUGACAAGCCUUCAGCUUUGACUUCUAAGACGAAAGACGAAAAGGAAAAGAAAAAGAAAAAGAAACCUCGUAAGGUUUCAGGUGCUAAUGGUGGUGUGGCUAAGCCUAAGGGCAAAUGCUAUCAUUGCAAGCAACUGGUCAUUAUAUGAAAUUGUGUCUCGGCUACAUAGCAAAGAUGCAAAAAUAAGGUACAUCUUUUUCAUAUGUCUUUGAAAUGUUUUUAGCGGCUGUUUCUACCCAAUUUUGGGCUAUAGGAAAUAUUUCUAUUUCGUUUAGUAGUUCUAGAUUUUUAAGACUGAAUAAUGUUCUGUAUGUACCUUUUAUAAGAAAGAAUUUGCUUUCAAUUUCAAGAAUAAUGGAUGCUGGUUACAAUGUUUAUUUUGCUAAUAAUUGUGCCAUUAUUAAGUUUAAGAAGCAUUUUAUUUUAUCUGCUCCUAGAAUGCAUAAUUUGUUUGUAUUUUAUGUUUAUGAUAUGCUACAAAAAAUAGAACUAAAUAAUGUUGAUCAAUCACAUAAAAGAAAACGUAUUUCGAAAUUGAGUGAAACAUACUUAUGGCACUUACGUCUAAGUCAUAUUAAUAUAAAUAGGAUCUCAUGUUUGGUUUCUGAUGGACCUUUGAGUUCAUUGAAAGUGGAGGCACUUCCAACUUGUGAAUCUUGUUUAGAAGGUAAACUGACCAAGAGACCAUUUCUUUACAAAGGAAAUAGAGUCGGUAAUAAGUUAGAAUUAAUUCAUACUGAUUUGUGUGGUCCAAUGAAUAUACAAGCAAGAGGCGGUUUUGAGUAUUUUGUGACUUUCACAGAUUAUUACUCGAAAUAUGGAUACAUUUAUUUGUUGCGCCAUAAAUCUGAAUGCUUUAAAAAAUUCAAAGAAUCUAAGAUGGAAAUGGAAAAGAGACAUAACAAACAUAUCCAUAUAUUAAGAUCUGAUCGUGGUGGUGAAUACCUUUCUGCGGAAUUCAUUAAAUACUUCUCAGAAUCCAAAAUUAUAUCUCAAUAUUCUGCUCCGGGAACACCACAAUAAAAUAGUGUGGCAGAAUGCCGAAAUAGAAAUUUUAUGAAAAUGGUUAGAUAAAUGUUAAGUUAUUCAGAUUUGCCCAUUUCUUUUUGGGGUUAUGCAUUAGAAACUGCAAAUUAUAUUCUGAACUUGGUUUCUUCAAAAUCAGUACCUUUAACCCCAUCUGAAUUGUAGAGUGGGCGCAAGCCUAGUCUACGCCAUAUUCGGGUUUGGGGUUGUCCAGCAUAUGUGCUAAAAGGAAAAACUGAUUAGUUAGAAUCUAGGACAGAAGUGUGCGUUUUAUUGGAUAUCCAAAAGGAACAAAAGGCGGUUUAUUUUAUUGUCCUAAGGAAUAGAAGGUAAUUGUUUCGACAAAUGCCAGAUUUCUUGAAUAGGAUUAUUUAAUGAACCACAUUUAUAGAAGUAAAAUUAUUUUACGAGAAUUGAGCAAUAGAAUAACAAAUAAUAAAACAAAAGAAGGAAUUCCAAAAUCCAUUAUUGACAUACUACUGCAUCCACGUAGUGGGAGAAAUGUCAAUAGGCAAGAGGUUGUACAAGAGCAAACACUUGACAUUACACUACCUCAAAGUAGUGGAAGUAACGUCGAGCAGCCUGCAAUUAUGGAGGAAAACGUUCAGGGUAAUGUCGAGGAACCUUUCAUAAUGCAGGAAGACAUUCAAGGUGUUCAAAAUUUAGUUCCCGUAGUAGCAGAUUCUGUAGUGACUAGUUGUCGUAGUGGGAUAAUUAUUAGAAAACCUAUAUGGUUUGCGCUUGGGAGAAUCGUAUGAUAGAAUCCCUGAGGAUCCUAAUACCGAACCUAUUAAUUACACCGAAGCACUACAUGAUAAAGAUGCUAAAAUGUGAAUUGCUGUUAUAAAAUCUAAAAUGAAGUCUAUAUAUUCCAAUCAAGUCUGGGAACUUGUAGAACCACCUAAGGAGUCAAACCCAUUGGUUGUAGAUGGAUCUAUAAGAAAAAGAGAGGUGUGGAUGGGAAAGUACAAACUUUUAAGGCUAGGCUUGUUGCGAAAGGGUUUACUCAAAAAGAAGGAAUUGAUUAUGAGGAAAAAUUUUUGCUGGUAACUAUGCUUAAAUCCAUUAGGAUUAUCUUAUCCAUUGCGGCUCAUUAUGAUUAUGAGAUUUGACAAAUGGAUGUCAAGACGACUUUCCUAAAUGGAAGUCUUGACGAGUGCAUUUAUAUGGCACAACCAGAAGGUUUCAUGAAAAAUGAUAAUGAACAUAAGUUUUGUAAACUUAAAAAAUUCAUUUAUGAUUUGAAACAAGUAUCUAGAGCAUAGAAUACUUAUUUUGAUAAUUCAAUUAAGACUUUUGGUUUUAAUCAAUGUGAAAAUGAAUCGUGCGUUUAUAAAAAAUGGGAUGGAGACAGGAACAUUUUUUAUUUUGUAUGUAGAUGACAUUUUUCUCAUAGGAAAUAAUGUGAGCAUGUUGAAUUCUAUUAAGGAGUGGUUGUCCACGCGUUUUGAUAUGAAGGACUUGGGAGCAGCGGCUCAUAUCCUUUGGAUCAAGCUUAUGCGAGAUCGCAGACAAAGGAUAUUAGACUUAUCUCAAGCACUUUAUAUUGAUACUAUUCUUGCAAGGUUUAGCAUGCAAAAUUCAAAAAGGGGAUUUCUUCCUUUUAGGCAUGGAAUUACUCUAUCAAAAGAUCAGUCGCCCAAAACGACCGAUGAGAUAGAGAGAAUGUGGUCCCUUAUGCUUCUUCUGUAGGGAGCCUUAUGUAUGCUAUGUUGUGCACUAGAUCAGAUAUCUACUUUGUUGUUGGCAUGGUUAGCAGAUUUCAGUCUAAUACUGGGCAAGUACAUUGGACUGUGGUUAAGUAUAUAAUCAGGUUCCUAAAAAGGACUAGGGACUACAUGCUUGUUUUUCACUCCGGGAAUCUUGUACCUAUUGGGUAUACUGAUUCAAAUUUUUAGUUGGAUAGAGAUUCUAGAAAAUCUACCUCAGGAUAUGUGUUUACUUUAGGAGGUGGAGCUAUUAUUUGGAGGAGUAUCAAGCAAUCAUGUGUUGCUGAUUCCACUAUGGAAGCUGAUAUGUAGCUGCCUCUGAGGUGGAAAAAGAGGUUGUUUGGCUCGGUAACUUUCUGAAAGAGCUUGGAGUUGUUCCUUCGGUUCAAACAUCACUACCACUUUAUUGUGACAAUAGUGGUGUAGUUGUAAACUCGAAAGAACCACGAAGCCAUAAAAGAAGUAAGCAUAUUGAAAGAAAAUAUCACUUGAUUCGGGAUAUAACUCAAAGGGGUGAUGUGAGAAUUUUGAAGAUUGAGUCGAAGAACAAUUUGGCAGACCCAUUUACAAAGGGCUUAACCCAGAAGGUUUUUGAUAAGCAUGUGAAAGAAAUGAAUGUUAAAAUUGUUCAUUCAUGGUUAUGAGUCUAAGUGGGAGAUUGUUGGGAUAUACUAUUAACCAUGUAGUUUGUGUUAUAUUAUUAUAUUUUUUCAUCCCAUGUAAAGACUAUUUAUUAUAUUAAUAAAAUCUUUAUUUGAAUAAAUCAUUGUGUUAACAUGUGUGUUCUUCACUUAUAUAGUAGACAAUUUUGUGCAUGGAGUAUUUUAACUCAUGCACGGAAGAUUAAAAUUCUCGGUUCUUAUAAGUAAUAAAUUAAUGUUCACAAUCAAAGAUGAGGUAGGACAAACAUCUUGAUGAUUGUACCACAAGAUUAAAUAUAAUUUGAUCUUAAUUAUGGGAGUAGUAAUAUUCCAACUUCUUGUGCAAGUACAUCUCGUAUGUAUUGAAUGGACCAAUUAGACGUAUUCUUUUAUGUUCUGAAUAUUAAUAAAUGAUUUCUCUAGACCAUUACAUGCACUUAUAUUCUUAAUCUUGAUAUAAUUAUUAUGAUCUAUAUGGUUUGUUUUAUCGUUUUAAUCUAUUAAAAGGUGAGACUCUUUUAUGAGUCAACAUAUUCCUAAUAGGUUGGAUGAUGACAAAUCACUUAGUGAAAUAUUAAUUAGUUGAUAGAACCAUGUCUCAAACUUGCGAUAGAAGACACCCCUUUAUUGUCACGACCCGAACCGGGGCCCUGGCCGUGACGAGUAUUCCAAACCAUGAGGCCCGAAAUACCCCUAUCUGUCUAGUAAUCAUGCACACAAUUCAUAUGAUAAAAGAAAUACGGAAGAUACACAAUAUAACGAAAACAUGAUCAAGAAUCAUGCGAAAGUAAUAAUGGAGAAUAAUGUCCCACAAUCUCUACACAACAUCUCUAUAACAUCUGCGAAAUCUCUACUACAUGACUAAAACAAAUGUCUAUCUGAAAACUGAGACAAGGCCCCCAGUAGACCCAAAACUAAUAAAUGAUAAAUUAAACUGCAGACAUCAGGCCUUCCAAAAUAUAAAAGGCUCACCACUUGAUUCUGCGAUCUGUCGGAAGGAAUCUACUAGUUUUCUGGACCCCUAGACUGUGCCUCCAAACCUGGGAGUGGAGGGGGUCAAUACAAAAGUACUUGUACAAAGAGAAAUCAAAACAGGAAUAUAAUAUUUUUACACAAUAUAGGUGAGAGCCAUUAUGAAGCAGUUUCAUAUCAAAUUAUUUGAAAACACAUGGGCAUAAUGUAAUAGUUUUCAAUACCAAUGUAAUGCGAUUGAGCUAGGUGGAAUACCCUACAAUUGUAAUUCCAUGUCUAUGUGGAAUCCGCCUCUGGUGCUUGGCAGCCAAGCCUCCAAUCCAAGUAGCCGCCAGGAUUUGGAGCCGGUAUACCCCCCAUGUGAGUACACCACAGGGAAUCCCCCCAUGUGAGAUGUUCCAAUUAUUUUAUUAUCCUCCCAUGUAGGAUACAAUAUCAUAUGACCUGCAUCGGCAACUACGGUUCCCAGCGAUGAGCCCUUUCACUCAAACGUCUUCUUCGGGCAUCCACCUUUCUCAUGAAAAUCAAUGCAUUUAAACUUUAUUCAAAUCAAUCACAUGUCAUACUCUGUAGGGUAUCGUCAUACCCGACUUGCAAGUCAUCAGUAUUAUAUCAUUCUCUUCAUUCAAUCAUCAUAUGCAACAUAUUUCAACAUGAACAAAACAACCCUCUCUUUGAAAGUGAAAAACCAUAUCUAAAUCAUGACAUUUUAAAAACAUUUCAUGACAUGCAUUUCAAGAUGAUUUCAAACGAUUCAUAUCAUGUGAAAACUUAAAACAAUAUCAUAUCAAGAGAGGGGUUCCGUGUAAAUCAUGCUCUCAAUUUAUCAUCAUUAUGAAACACAUGCAUAUCCAUAUAUAAUAUAUCAAAUCACAUUGGAAUUAGGCCUAAANNNNNNNNNNNNNNNNNNNNNNNNNNNNNNNNNNNNNNNNNNNNNNNNNNNNNNNNNNNNNNNNNNNNNNNNNNNNNNNNNNNNNNNNNNNNNNNNNNNNNNNNNNNNNNGUACCUCUAUAUGCGAAGAUUAUAGGUGCUUCUUGAAGCCUACGUUCUGGGGAUUCCAAAUAUGCAAUUAUUUUCUAAAACCCCCGGUUGAAUCUUGAGUUGCUUGGGUUUUUAUUUGAAACCCUAGGAGAAUCCUUGAGCACUUUUGAUGAAUGGAGGUGUAUUUUGGGGUCUUUGAAACAGAAUUUCAUGUUUAAGGCUAAGUAAGGGUGGAAAAAGACCAUUUUGCCCCAAAAACGGAGUGUUUAAGUCACUUGAAACCUUUACAUAGGCGCCGCCUAUGCUAUCGCCUAUGCUUUCCAGUGACCCUGUGCGAUUGGUUAGGCGACGCAUAUUACUUUGAAAGGCCAUAACUUCUUGCUCUGGUGCCGGAUUUUAGCGAAAUUGGUAUCGUUGAAAAGGUAACUCGGAAACCUAUCAUUUUACACAUAGUAGGCUUUCUAAUUCGACAUAUACAAAGAGUCAUGGUCGAUAGAAGUUGACACAAAUUAUACUAUCCACUUAAGCUUAAUUGGUUGAAGUAUUUUUUUACUCGUCCUUGAGUCAAAUGACCCCUAAGGUCAAAAUUCAAGCUUGAAUGGAUUCACAUUCUACACAAAUAAUUAACAUGUCGUAUUGGCAUAGGAUUUAUGGCUUCGAAAUUUAUCAACACAUCGGAAUCAUGGUCUAUAUUAUAGCCCAAAAUGUAGGGCGUUACAUUAUCCCUCCCUUAGGAUCAUUCGUCCCCAAGUGAUGAUGCGGGACACAGAUAGACACGAUUUCAAGCAUAAUAAAGGACUAGGAAAGAUAAGAUAGGAAUAGUACCUUCUGUCUCCUUCUCCAUCGAAGUAAAUAAAUUGGGAUAUCUAAUUCUCAUGUCAUCUUCUGAUUCUCAAGUUGCUUCUUCGACUUUCUGAUUCCUCUAUCGUACCUUUACUGAGGCUAUCUCUUUGUUCUUCAUCUUUUGAACUUGGCGAUCUAAAAUUUCAACGGGCUCUUCUUAGUAAGACAAGGAAUCUGUCACUUUGACACCCUCUACUGGCAAUACCAAAGAAUGAUCUCCAAUGCAUUUCUUCAACAUGGAUAAAUGGAAUACCGGAUGAACGGAACCCAAACUUGCAGGCAAUUUUAGCUCAUAAGCAACUGCACCAAUCUUUCUCAGAAUCUAAUAUGGCCCUAUAUAGCGAGGGCUCAAUUUACCCCUUUUUCCAAACCGCAUAACUCCUUUCAUAGGACAAACCUUGAGAAACACCCAAUCACCAAUUUCAAACUCUAGUUCUCUUCUUCGAACAUUGGCAUAGGACUUCUGACGACUCUGAGAAGUCUUGAGUCAUUCUCUAAUGAUCUUUACUUUCUCCAUCCCUGAUGAACAAGAUUAAGCCCAAUAAAUGGGCCUCACCCACUUCAUACCAUCCUAUCAGAAACCUACAUCUCCUCCCAUACAAAGCCUCAAAAGAAGCCAUCUUGAUGCUGGCAUGGUAACUAUUAUUGUAAGCAAAUUCAACCAGUGGCAGGUGAUUUACCCAACUACUUUUAAAAUCAAUGACGCAUGCCCUCAACAUAUCCUGGAGGGUCUGAAUGGUACGCUCAGCUAGCCCAUCUGUCUGAGGGUGGAAAACUGUGCUCAAAUUCACUUGUGUACCUAAACCCUUCUGAAAAGAUCUCCAGAACUGAGAUAAAAACUGCAUACCCCUGUCGGAUAUAAUGGACACUGGUGCCCCAUGCAACCGAACUAUCUCCUCAAUAUAAAUCUUAGCAUAACCCUCUCCCGAAUAAUUAGUCCUCACAGGCAAAAAGUGGGCUGACUUUGUCAAUCGAUCUACAAUCACCCAUAAAGAAUCAUACUGGUUUCGAUAUCUCGAAAGUUCUGUAAUAAAGUCCAUGUUUAUUAUCUCCCACUUCCAUAAAGGCAGGGCAAUCUCUUGGGAAGUACCACCUGGCCUCAUGUGUUCUACCUUCACUUGUUGACAGUUCAAACACUUGGACACAAAAUCAGCUACAUCACGUUUCAUGUUAUUCCACCAAUACAAGGUUUUCAGAUCAUGGCACAUCUUAGUAGAGCUUGGGUGAACGACAUACCUCGAAGUGUGAGCUUCAUCAAGGAUCCUUUUCUGCAGUCCAUCAAUAUUUGGAAUGCACAACCUACCCUGAUAUCUCAGAAUACCAUCACCACCAAUUUCAAAUAACAUUACCUUCUGUUGACCCACAUCUUUCUUGAUUUGCAUCAAGAUGGAAUCUUCAACUUACUUCUCUUUCACUUCAGCACAAAGGGAUGACUUAGCUAACUCAUGAACAAUCAUCCCUCCAUCUUCGAAAUCUAAGAGUCGCACUCCCAGAUUCGCGAGGCGGUGAAUAUCCUUCACCAUCUCUUCCUUCUCUUUUUCAACAUGAGAAAGGCUGCCCAUAGACAACCUGCUGAGGGCGUCGGCUACAAUAUUUUCCUUGCUCGGAUGGUAAUGUAGACUCAUAUCAUAGUCUUUCAAAAGCUCCAUCCAACGUCUCUGCCUGAGGUUCAAUUCUUUCUGCGAGAAAAUAUACUGCAAACUCUUAUGGUCAGUAUAAAUAUCAAUAUGCACUCCAUAGAAAUAGUGCCUCCAGAUUUAAGUGCAAACACACGGCUGCUAACUCCAAGUCAUGAGUGGGGUAAUUGCGCUCAUGCACCUUUAACUGCCUAGAUGCAUAAGCUAUAACCUUACCACGCUGCAUCAAUACACAACCAAGUCCCACAUGGAACGUAUCACAAUAAACCACAAAACCAUCUACACCCUCGAGAAGGGUUAAAACAGGAGCAGUAGUCAGCUUGUCCUUCAACUUCUCAAAACUAUUUUCACACAAGUCAGACCACACAAACUUCAUCUUUUUCUGAGUCAGUUUAGUAAGCAGAGUAUCUAUGGAAGAAAAACUCUCUACGAACCUUCUUUAAUACCCCGCCAAACCCAAGAAGCUCCAAAUAUCGGUUGGAGUCGUGGGUCUGGGCCAUUUUAUCACUGCUUUAACUUUCUGGGGAUCCACUCUUAUCCCGCCACUGGACACAAUAUGCCCCAAGAAGGCAAUAGCAUUUAACCAGAAUUCACACUUAGAAAAUUUGGCAUACAGCUGAUGAUCCUUAAGGGUCUGAAGAAUAAUUCGGAGAUAAUUGGCAUGGUCCUCCUCACUUUUACAAUAGAUCAGAAUAUCAUCAAUGAACACUAUGAUGAAUAAGUCUAGAAACUGAUGGAAUACUCUAUUCAUAAGAUCCAUGAAGGCUGCAGGGGCGUUAGUCAACCCGAAGGACAUGACUAAGAACUCAUAGUGACCAUAUCGGGUUCGAAAGGUUGUCUUGAGAAUGUCUGACUCCCUAACUUUCAACUAAUGAUAACCUGAACGAAGAUUUAUUUUCGAAAAACACUUAGCACCCUGAAGCUGGUCAAAAAGAUCAUCAAUCCUAGGAAGAAGAUACUUGUUUUUAAUCGUGACCUUAUUCAGUUAACGAUAGCCUAUGCACAUACGAAGGGAACCGUCUUUCUUUCGCACGAAAAGUACAGGUGUACCCCAAGGGGACACACUGGGGCGAAUAAAACCCUCAUCUAGAAGGUCUGCUAGCUGCUCUUUUAACUCUUUCAGUUCUGCGGGAGCCAUUCUAUAUGGCAAAAUAGAAAUAGGUCGAGUGUCUGGCAGUACAUCAAUGCCAAAAUCUAUUUCUCUAUCAGGUGGUAUCCCUGGGAGAUCUUUGGGAAAGACUUCUGAAAACUCAUUCACUACAAGGACUGACUGAAAAGAAAGAUUUUCAACUCUUGAAUCUUUUACUCAGAUUAGAUGGUAAAUACAGCCUUUGGAGAUAAGCUUUCGGGCUCUAAGAUAAGAGAUAAAGUGACCUCUAGGUUCCACAGAACUCCCUACCCAUACAAUUGGUGUCUCAUUCGGAAAAUAAAAAGUGAUAUUUCGGGUUCUACAAUCAAGUGUGGCAUAACACAAAUGGAGCCAGUCCAUCCCAAGAAUGGCAUCAAAAUCUACCAUAUCAAGUUCCAUAAGGUCGGCCACAAUAUCCCUACUAAGAAUAGACACAACAUAAUUUCUAUAAACCAAACUAGCAACAAUAGAAUCACCUACAGGAGUGGAAACAGUGAAGGGUUCUUCAAUGACUUCAGGCUCAAACCCAAAACCAACAGCCACAUAGGGGGUCACAUAAAAUAAAGUAGACCCAGGAUCAAGCAAUACAUAAACAUCACGAGAAAAAAAUUGUAACAUACUGGUGACAACAUCUGGUGAAGCCUCCGCCUCCUGGCGGUUAGUCAAAGAAUAUAACCGGUUGCGACCGCUCCCGAUAGCUGAAGGGGAACCCUUAGGAGGAAGAGCCGUGGGGGCAGCUUGGGGCCUAGUCCCCCCUGUAUUUUCUCCAGCAGAAGGGCAAUCUCUUUGAAAAUGUACCACCUUGCCACAAGUAUAACAAUUUUUCCCCUCAAAAAAAACUUCCCUGGGUGAUUCCUCCCACAAAUCUCACACCGUGGAUAAGCACGACGUUGUUGGGCCACACUCCCCUGCGACUGAGUAUCUGGGGCUCUCGAUCCAUGAUGAGUCUAGAAACUCUAAGAUCGUCUGUUUGCUGGUGGUCAAGGCAGCAGACUGUGCAUUACUCCAUGACUUCUUAUUUUUCCAUCUAUUUCCUCAGUUGCCGCUCUGUGGAUGGCUGUGAUUCUGAUCCGCAGUUCUGGCUCUCUUUGCUUGCCUGUCUUUCUCUCUUAUUUCUGAAAUUUUCUUUUUGUUCUCUUCUAUUUGUUGCAUAUGAACGAUCAGCCGAGAAAAGUCUAACUCCUUAUUCAACAUAGCCCCCUGGCACUCAAGUACCAGGUUAUCAGCAUGGCUGGAUGCAAAUUUCCUCAUCUGGGCUCUCAUAUUACUAGUCAACUCUGGUGCAUAGUGGGCUAGUUUAUCAAACUUCAAAGUGUACUCCUGGACACUCAUACUGCCCUACUUAAGAUUCAUAAACUCUUCCGCCUUGGCCUCCCUCAACUCUAGAGGAAAGAAUCGAUCAAGGAACAAAUUCGCCCCAAACUGUGGGCUCAGAACUUUCACCUUUUGCAUCCUCCCAGUCGGCAUACCACUGAUUCACAACAUCCUUGAGCUGAUAAGGUGCCAAUUCCACCCCUUCAACCUCAUCCACAUGCAUUACCUUAAAGAUCUUUUCCAUCUCAUCCAUGAACUCCUGUAGAUCUUCCUUCACCUUUGUGCUAGUGAACCUAGGUGGGUUCAUCUUCAUGAAAUUCCCAACCCUAGUAGUCUCAGACGUAACAGAUGCAGACCCAACAUCUUUCGAUCAUUGAGCCUGGUUAGCUACCAACUGUGUCAUCAUAUGAAUAAACCGUCUGAAUUCUGCAUUUAAAAUAUCUCCCUGAGCAGUUGGGGGACGGUUGACAUCAGUCCGCGGAGCCCGAGGUAAACUGGUCGGGACUGGAGGGACUCCCGGAGUAGUGACAAGUUCUUUACGAGUCUGCAUCCCAUGGGUGGGACGGAACUCAUAUGCCUGAGCAUUCUGAUCGAUGAUACGACAUGGAGGCAUAACUGUGUUUCUGAAAUACAAGAGAUCAUUGUUUAGGGGACAGCUCAGACUCUAAAGCUCGAACUAAAUCACAAAGAAGGGAAAUAUUUUCUAAACGCCUAGCAGCCUCCUGCUUAUAUGUGUGGCGUGCUACACACCCAUAAAUAGGACUCUACCCGAUGUGAUUUCGCAGAUACCCUGGGACCAUGAACUGUGCUUUGAUAACAAGUUUGUCACGACCCAAACCGGGGCCCUGGCCAUGACGAGUAUUCCGAACCAUGAGGCCUGAAACACCCUUAUCUGUCUGGUAAUCAUGCACACAAUUCAUAUGAUAAAAGAAAUGCAGAAGAUACACAAUAUAACGGAAACAUGGUCAAGAAUCAUGCGAAAGUAAUAAUAGGGAAUAAUGUCCCACAAUCUCAACACAACAUCUCUAUAACGUCUGCGAAAUCUCUACUACAUGACUAAAACAAAUGUCUAUCUGAAAACUGAGACAAGGCCCCCAGUAGACCCAAAACUAAUAAAUGAUAAAUUAAACUGCAGACAUCAGGCCUUCUAAAAUAUAAAAGGCUCACCACUUGAUUUCGUGAUCUGUCGGAAAGAAUCUACUGGUUGUCUGGACCCUAGACUGUGCCUCCGAACCUGAGAGGGGAGGGGGUCAAUACAAAAGUACUGGUACGCAGAGAAAUCAAAACAGAAAUAUAAUAUUUUUACACAAUAUAGGUGAGAGUCAUUAUGAAGCAGUUUCAUAUCAAAUUAUUUGAAAACACAUGGGCAUAAUGUAAUAGUUUUCAAUACCAAUGUAAAGCGAUUGAGCUAGGUGGAAUACCCUACAAUUGUAAUUCCAUAGCUAUGUGGAAUCCACCCCUGGUGCUCGGAGGCCAAGCCUCCAAUCCAAGUAGCCGCCAGGAUUUGGAGCCGGUAUACCCCCCAUGUGAGUACACCGCAGGGAAUCCCUCCAUGUGAGAUGUUCCAAUUAUUUUAUUAUCCUCUCAUGUAGGAUACAAUAUCAUAUGACCCGCAUCGGCAACUACGGUUUCCAGCGAUGAGCCCUUUCACUCAAACGCCUUCUUCGGGAAUCCACCUUUCUCAUGAAAAUCAAUGCAUUCAAACUUUGUUCAAAUCAAUCACAUGUCAUACUCUGUAGGGUAUCGUCAUACCCGACUUGCAAGUCAUCAGUAUCAUAUCAUUCUCUUCAUUCAAUCAUCAUUUGAAACAUGUUUCAAAAUGAAUAAAACAACCCUCUCUUUGAAAGUCAAAAACCAUAUCCAAAUCAUGACAUUUUAAAGACAUUUCAUGACAUGCAUUUCAAGAUGAUUUCAAACGAUUCAUAUCAUGUGAAAACUUAAAACAAUAUCAUAUCAAGAGAGGGGUUCCGUGUAAAUCAUGCUCUCAAUUUAUCAUCAUUAUGAAACACAUGCAUAUCCAUAUAUAAUAUAUCAAAUCACAUUGGAAUUAGGCCUAAAGACCAAAUCAAUAUCAUAAAACAUUUAAAACAUAAUCAUAUUCGUAAUUUCAAAACCCCCAUUUUGAAAACAUAAAUUUUUAAAGCCCAUGAGAUUUUUAAGAUAACCCCACGUACCUCUAUAUGCGAAGAUUAUAGGUGCUUCUUGAAGCCUACGUUCUGGGGAUUCCAAAUAUGCAAUUAUUUUCUAAAACCCCCAGUUGAAUCUUGAGUUGCUUGGGUUUUUAUUUUGAAACCCUAAGGAGAAUCCUUGAGCAUUUUUGAUGAAUGGAGGUGUAUUUUGAGGUCUUUGGAACUGAAUUUCGUGUUUAGGGCUAAGUAAGGGUGGAAAAGAACCAUUUUGCCCCAAAAACGGAGUGUUUAAGUCAUUUGAAACCUUUACUUAGGCACCGCCUGUGCCAUCGCCUAUGUGGCGCCGCCUAUGCUAUCGCCUAUGCUUUCCAGUGGCCAUGUACGAUUGGUUAGGCGACACAUAUUACUUUGAAAGGCCAUAACUUCUUACUCGGGUGCCAGAUUUUAGCAAAAUUGGUAUCGUUGGAAAGCUAACUCGGAAACCUAUCAUUUUACACAUAGUAGGCUUUCUAAUUCGACAUAUACAAAGAGUCAUGGUCGAUAGAAGUUGACACAAAUUAUACUAUCCACUUAAGCUUAAUUGGUCGAAGUAGUUUUCAACUCGUCCUUGAGUCAAAUGACCCCUAAGGUCAAAAUUCAAGCUUGAAUGGAUUCACAUGCUACACAAAUAAUUAACAUGCCGUAUUGGCAUAGGAUUUAUGGCUUCGGAAUUUAUCAACACAUCGAAAUCAUGGUCUAUAUUAUAGCCCGAAAUGCGGGGCGUUACAUUUAUGGUUGCUUAUAAGUUUUCACAUGAAAACCCUGUAGCUGGAUUUUGUAUCCGUCAUGUGAAAUAAGUUAAGCAUUAUAAAUAAAGGAUUAAAUUAAUCAAUGAGUUAAAUUUUUCAGAGAAUUUAAUUUAAUUGAUUGGUGUCGGUAAUUCUAACAUGGGGAGUUAAGUAAGAUGUAAUGGUAGAUUUUGAAAUUAAACCGUGGAGUGCAAUUACAAAAUUUUAGUGGAAUAAUUUGUAAUUUAUUGUGAUAUGGUAAUUCAUUCAUUUGCAAAUUAAUAUCAUAAUUGGAAGCCCCACUUAAUAAAUCUGUGGUCCCUGCUAUACUUGAUUAACUAAUCAAUUUUGAAAAAGAGAAAGAACUUACUAGAAAAAGUAAUAUUACUUACUGGUCUUCUAUAAGGAAAAAAAAUCUUCUGUUUUAAAAAAAAAAUAAAAAAUUGGAAAAUUAAAGAGGCAAAAAACGUUUUGACAAUUGAAAAUCCAUAUACUGUUGCCUCUUAGCUCCCUCUUUAUGUAAAGUAUGAAUAAACAAUUAAAAAGCCAUAAACUUUGCCUCUUGACUCCCUGUUUAUGUAAAGCAAGAAUAAACAAUUGAAAUGAAAGAAACUUUUGUUGUCUUGUUUUUCUUAUUGGCUUUCCCCUAAUAAGAAUAUAUAGGAGUUUUGGCUAAGAAGAAAUAUACAGUUUUUCUGGACAUAUUCUUUUUUAAUCCAAAAGUACUUGUCCAUACAAGUUUGAUAACAAAGUCAGUCAGGAUAUUGUAGAAGACUGUAGUCCUAGAGGUAAAAACAAUGAACAAAUUGUGUGAAAGCUUUAACAGGUAAAUAAUUUUUUCAAUUUCGUUUGAUAAUUUGUAUUGUCUAGAUUAUAUGUAAGUUAUUGAUCCUGUAGAAUUAUUACUUCCGUUGUGCAUAAUCUAACAAGCAGUAGAUUUAGUUAGCAAGCCAAGCCCAAAUUUAGGUUUAUAUAACUGAAAUGAAAAUUCGAAAAAAAGCUUCUACAACUUUUUCUUCUCUCCUUUUCCUUUCUGCAUGUCUGGAUCAAGGUGCUCUAAAUUACUGAAGUUUACGUAUAUGUAUUAAAUUCUCACUAAAUAAUAUAAUGAUUGAUAACAUUUAAUUCCUGUUUCACUCAACUAUGAAAAAUUAUAUAGUAAAAUCAAUCAACUUAAAAUUACUCAAUUUUGGAAUAUCCUCAAAUAAAUUCACUCAACCAAAUUUGUCAUUAAAAAGAAAAUCUGACAUGAUAAAUUAAAUUAAAUAAAAAACCCGACAGUAAUUUAAUGAUUUUAUUGAUAUAAAACAAAAGUUAAUUAUUUUCCUAAAUAGUUCUUAAAAGUUAAAUGACCAAAUCUAUACGACGUUGACUCAAGAAAGUCAAUAAAAAGAAGAGUCAAAAAUUAGAGGCCGGUACAAAGUCGCACGUAGGGUAACGAGGGGGAUUCACGUCUAUACGUGUAGUGUGGUGCUUAAACCUACCCACCCUAUUUGUUCCAUGAUUUAUGGGUCUACUGGAUUGGUCAAACUUAUUUAUCCUCAAAAUUGCUUAUUUUUUAAAAAAAGUGUUUAGUUUUUUAAAAAGGAGGUGUCUAAUCCAAGUUUCAUACACAAAUUAAUCCGAGUUUGCACCAUGUAUAGCCCGCUCUAUAUUAAUCCAAAAUUUUCACACGCGGCUAGUUAAGAAAGAAAUAACUCCAUCUGCUCCAUAUGUGCUUUACUUGCAAAAUUCGAUAAAUUUAAUCUUUAAAAUUAUAGUAUUUAUAUUUAUACUAAUAAAGAUAAGUAUUAGUUUAAAUCUGACAUUAAUUAAAAUAUCAUAAUAUAUUUUCACGUCAAAAAUAUUGAAUUCAUUAUUACGCCAAAUGGUGACACGUGUCCCCAACUACGCAUACGAUUACAAUUUGCUUUUGUUGUUGUUAGGGAAUCUGAAGUUUUGAUAAUAGAUAUAUGAAUGAAAAAUGUUGUGCAAGCUAGUCCAUACAAGUGAAGAAGAGAAGUUGAAGUUACUGGUUCUCACAUGAAAUUGCAUGAUGCAAGGCUGGCAGGCGUUAGGACAAAAGUGGAUAAGCAAGGACACUCAAAUAUCUUACCAAUGCUUAUCACAUACAACAAAAAAGAUUGAGGAAGAGAUAAGUACAAACACCUAGAGGUUGAGUUGAUCAAGGAAUUCUGUCAAACUAGGAGAUGAAGUAGAAGAGUCCUAUUCAGUCAAAGUGAUAGACGACUACAACAGGAGUGAAACUAUUUGGUAGAGUCCUAUUGAAGAUAGAAGAAUACAUCAUCCAAAUGACUCUAUCAGGAGUUGGCUUAAAUAGAAGAACCAACAUUCAAGAGUUUCACUCAAGCACUGACAAAGAAAAUCAUCAAUCAACAAAUCAGUUCACCACCAAACUUGAAGAAGAACCUGGUCCUUUACUUAGCAAGUCGUAGACGUUGUAGUAGGUUGGUUCUUUGAAUCAUAAUGUGUUUUAUUUCUAGUCUCAGUGAGUUAUAAACUGAGUUAGGAGUUGUGUGUUCAAGUUGGGGAAUUCAAAGACUUGGGAACACUUAUCUUGGGAAGAUUUGUGUUAGUAUAGAAAUGGAAGUUAGAAGUUUUAAUUAACAAAAUCACAAGAAGUGUUGUAAUUUGUUGAUUGUGAGUAUUUAGUGAAGUUGGGGUUAAAUCCGGUACAGGUCGUGUUUUUACCUCUUUCUUGAGCCGGGUGUUUUCCACGUAAAAAUACUUGUUUUCAUUUUUACUUAUGCGAACCACGUUAGUUGACUUGUUUCACUAAUAGGCAACUAUUAGAGUAAAACACUAAAAUCAGUAGGUACAUACUCCAACCGUUGUCUUUUUUUUUUUCCUGAAAAUAAAAAGUUGAUGGAAUACUGUUCCAUUUUAAAAUAUCAAUCCUGGAUUUUUGUACAAAUAUCCAGCCUUAUAACUAAGGGUGGCAGCGGACCGGAGUUAAUCCGGUUUCGGUCCAUUUUCGGUCAUGGUUCGGUCCGAUAACGCAACGGUACCGGUUUGUACCGGUACCAAACGACCUGGAAUACGGUACCAGUGAGGAGGGGCAUUUUUUUCUGGUAGUUCCGAUUCUGGUUUACCGAUUCCGGUGCUGAUUGGCCGGAUUCGGUCCGGCGCCGACCGGUGCAUGUUAAUUUAAAAAAAAAAAGAAAAAUAGUUUUGGCCGUUGUUAACUGUUGUAAAAUAGUUGUUGGAGGGGGCAACGGCUAUUUUGUGCCUCCCCCUACCAAUUAGUCCACUACACCAUUAAUUUUCUACUAUAAAUAUCCUUUUAAAUCAAUUUUUUUUUCUCACAAAUUUCUCAAUUUCUCAUACUCUCUAAAUCUUAAAUCUUAAUAUUCUCAUACUCAAUAUUUAUAAUUUUUGUAUUAAUUGGAGUUGUGAAUUUUUUUAAAGAUACUACAAGCUUCAAUUAUCAUAUUUCAAUUACGACAUUUGGUAUACGUCUGCUUUUACGCAGACGUUCGGUAUAUUCGCUCCAACUUUAAUCUCUAUAUGUUUUAUUUUUAAUAUCUAUAUUUGUUUACUUACAGUCUUACGUUUAUUUUUUGAUUUAUAAUAUUUAUAUUGCUUGUUUUAACAUUUUAAUUAUAUUUAAAUUUAAUUAUGGAUGCAAAUAAAAGUAGUGGUAAGAGACCAAUCUUUGGUAAGGUUUUUCGUAGAAAUAAAAAAAAUAAUGUUACUACUAGUUCAUUAUCGCCUAGAUUUAAUGAAAAUUCUUUAUCACAACCUAAUGGUUUUGAUGUUGGUGCCGGUAUGGAAUUAGAUCAUGAGACACUAAGUAGGCGUUAUAAUAAUUUUGAGGGAGACUUACCGAAAGAAGAUGAUAUAGAAGUACAAGAGUUAGGUGAAACCCCUACCCCUACUAGUCCGGUUACGGAAAUACCAAAAGACGAUGAUGUACUUCCCCUUUACCGAAAUUUAGUAGGGCCAAAGGUACUGAACGUCCUAAACGGUCUUUAGUUUGGCAAUUUAUGAGUCAAGAUAAGGAAAAAAAUAUUGCUACUUGCAAUAAAUGUAAGAGUUAUGAAACAUUUGACUGGGGAAAAAAAUGGUGGGACAGGGUUGCUUACUACGCAUUUGAGGAAAUGUAAUACAAAAUUUAUUCGUCUAGAAAAUGAGGCUAAGGCAAAAAAAGGUGGUACACCAUUGACGGGAAAAUCUGUGGGAGGUAAUAUGGUUCAAACGCGUUUAGAUAGGUUUAACCCAACUAGCUUAAGUUCUACAUUGACAUAUAAUGAAGAUGUAGAUAGAGAAGAACUAGAGAAAAUGGUUACUGUUAUGGGAUUGUCAUUCAGUUUUCCUUCGCAUCCCGGUUUUAUUCAUUAUAUUCAACGAGUAUAUAAUCUUUCUUUCAAAGGUUUUUCACGAAAUACAAUUAAAAAUGAUAUUUUUAAAUUUCAAGGUGAACAUUGUCAUUUUCUUCAUUGCUUAUUUAGUAAAUUUGAUAGUAGAGUAUCUAUUACUUCUGAUAUGAAUCGUAGUAUUAUCGGUAAUGAUUAUUUUACUGUCACGGUUCAUUGGAUUGAUCACCAUUGGAACAUGCAAAAAAGAAUUAUUGUUUAUAAAUAUGUUGACGAAACUAAAACCGGUAAAUAUAUAUCUUUUACAAUAGCAGAAUGCUUAANNNNNNNNNNNNNNNNNNNNNNNNNNNNNNNNNNNNNNNNNNNNNNNNNNNNNNNNNNNNNNNNNNNNNNNNNNNNNNNNNNNNNNNNNNNNNNNNNNNNNNNNNNNNNNNNNNNNNNNNNNNNNNNNNNNNNNNNNNNNNNNNNNNNNNNNNNNNNNNNNNNNNNNNNNNNNNNNNNNNNNNNNNNNNNNNNNNNNNNNNNNNNNNNNNNNNNNNNNNNNNNNNNNNNNNNNNNNNNNNNNNNNNNNNNNNNNNNNNNNNNNNNNNNNNNNNNNNNNNNNNNNNNNNNNNNNNNNNNNNNNNNNNNNNNNNNNNNNNNNNNNNNNNNNNNNNNNNNNNNNNNNNNNNNNNNNNNNNNNNNNNNNNNNNNNNNNNNNNNNNNNNNNNNNNNNNNNNNNNNNNNNNNNNNNNNNNNNNNNNNNNNNNNNNNNNNNNNNNNNNNNNNNNNNNNNNNNNNNNNNNNNNNNNNNNNNNNNNNNNNNNNNNNNNNNNNNNNNNNNNNUAUGGUUGACAAAUUUAAAAAAUAUUUUUUUUCGAUUCCACAAAUUUAUUUGACAGCUACUUUAUUCAACCCAUUUUACAAAGAACAUGGUGUAAUUAUGAUGGUUCAAAAAAUUUACACCAAUUUAGAAAUUGAACCUCAUGAAAGGACAUCGGUUGAAACGUGUUGUGCUAGCAUAGUACCUAAAACCAAGAGUUUAUAUAACAUGUAUCAAGUUAUGGAACAUAAUUUUGCGUCAAUCGAACCUCCUACUUUUAGACAUAGAUAUGAUGAUUUAGAUGAUGAGAUGGGUGAAGAACUUGGUCUUCAAUGUUGUAGCAGUAAUGAUUUUGAUUCAUAUAUUUCUCAGGAUCGGGAAUGUAUUAGAGAUGCAAAUGG
rnacentral:lncRNA from 1 species